rnacentral:lncRNA from 1 species
CCAUUCGCCUGUGGAUAAUACGGUGUGGACUGUUCCAGCCGAAUUUUCAAAUUGGCCGUGUAUUCCUUAAACCUUUCGGCUGUGAAGAUUGUUCCAUUGUCGGUUAUGAUCGUUUCUGGUACACCGAACCGGGUCACAAUGUGUUCCUCCACGAAAUCGCAAACUUCUUUAGAUGUUAACUCGGCAUAUGAUUUUGCUUCGACCCACUUAGUAAAGUAAUCAGUUGCGACUAUUAUCCAUGCAUGCUUAGCAGCUCCAGAAGUCGGCGUGAUUUUGCCGAUUACGUCCAUGGCCCACCCCAUAAACGGCCACGGCUUAAUGACCGAAUGUAGCGAUUCGGCCGGGACCCUUUGUAUAGGCCCAUGGAUUUGGCACUGCACGCAUCCUCGUGCAAACUCGAUACAAUCUUUCAGUAUUCUCGGCCAAAAAUAACCGUGUCGUCGGAGUAGCCAUCGCAUUUUCCGUCCAGACUGGUGAGCUCCACAUACCCCUUCAUGAACCUCUGCGAUCGCUCGAGCACUCUCUUGGGGGCCGAGGCAUAGCAAUAACAAACCAUCUUCGCCCUUUCGUACAACUCGUUCUGGUACGUGACAUAGUUCGUGGCGUGAGUCCGUGUUCUGCGACUAUGUUUUCCGUUAGGAUUGUCAAGGUACUGCAUAAUGGGCUUUCUCCAAUCAUCUGGUACUACCUCGACCGCGCAAAUUUCUAUAGAGUCCUGCCGAUCUAACAACGAAGGCAAGGACAUGACCCUGGUGCGUAUCACAUUGUCCCGACGGAGGAUUUGCUGAUCAACCAAGGCCGGGUAUAAUUGUUGUAAUAUUGGUAUCUCCCGGCCUAGCUUGCCCCCCAGGAGUUGUGCACCGGAGGCAAUUUGAGCCAACUCGUCUGCGUCGGUAUUAUGAACCCGAGAAACAUGCUCGAAUGUAAUACCGUCAAAGGACUCGGCCAAAUAGCUGACGACCAUGUAGUAAGGCGCCAGAGUACAACUCAUGCAGCGAAAAGACCCAUUAAUUUGGUUAAUCACUAGUUCAGAAUCCCCGAGGACGAGGACACGAGUGGCAUGUAGGUCAAGAAGGAGGCCUAGACCAAUGACCAGAGCCUCGUAUUCGGCCUGAUUAUUGGUGCAGUCGAAAUCCAAUUUGAGCGAAAAAUACCAACGAUCGUUGUGAGGAGAUUGAAUGAGGAUGCCUGCGUCGGCCGAGGACGAAAUACUGGAACCAUCAAAAUACAUCGUCCAAUAGUUGUCGCGGGUCACCACCAUGCCAAUCUCGACAUCAGCACCCCCGAAAUCGUAAGGCGAAGGGUGCUGGGCAAGGAAAUCGGCCAACGCCUGUCCUUUCACAGCUUUUUGCGGCACGUACUGCAAACUAAACUCGGACAACGCCAUCGUCCAUUUCCCAAUUCGGCCCUUCACAAUUGGCUGGGUAAGCAUGUACCGGAUAACGUCGGUCUGGGCAAUGACUUGGGUGACCGACGGGAGCAUGUAAUGCCGAAGCUUGGAUGCAGCGAAGAACACGGCGAGACAGAGCUUCUCAACGGCGGAAUAAUUGAUCUCCGGAGGACUCAGAUUAUGGCUGAGGUAGAAGAUAACCUGUUCCCGUCCGGCAUCGUUGUCUUGCGCGAGGAGGCAACCGAUGGACUCGUCGGCCGCCGAAAUGUACAGCUUGAGAGGCUUACCGCGCUGAGGAGGGACCAGGACAGGUGGGUUUGUAAGGGAAACCUUGAUCUGCGUGAACGCCGCCUGGUGCUCCUCAUUCCACAUGAACUUAUCUGAGUCCUUGAGCUUCAAAAGUGUGGAAAAUGCUUUCAUUUUACCUGCCGAAUUAGCAAUAAAUCGGCGUAAAAAAUUGAUCUGGCCGAGUAAGGACUGUAAUUGUUUCUUCGUUGUUGGGGGUGGGGCGGUAAUGAUUGCGCGUGCCUUAUUCUCAUCGACUUCAAUCCCACGAUGAUGUACGAGGAAACCAAGAAAAUUCCCGGCCGAUACACCGAAGGCACACUUGGCAGGAUUCAUCUUGAGGUUGUGCUGUCGCAUACGGAGGAAAGCCUGUCGGAGAUCGUCCAGAUGUGUCUGUCGGCGUUUAGAUUUGACGACAACAUCGUCGAUAUAAACUUCGACGAUGGUGCCAAUUAAAUCAUGGAAGAUGGUGUUCAUCGCCCGUUGGUACGUAGCGCCGGCAUUCUUGAGGCCGAAUGGCAUGACAACCCAUUCGUAAGUGCCGAGUGCCCCCGGGCAACGGAAAGCAGUUUUGUGCACAUCGGCUUCGGCAAUAAAUAUCUGGUUGUAUCCGGCAUGUCCAUCCAUAAAGGAUAAGAUCGCAUGAUUCGCAGCGGCAUCGAUUAACAGAUCUGAAAUCGGCAUUGUAUACUCAUCUUUGGGCGUUGCCAGAUUCAGAUUUCGAAAAUCGGUGCAGAUGCGAAGUGCACCACUUUUCUUUAAUACAGGAACAAUAUUCGCCAACCAUUCGACAUAUCGAGCUGUCCGAAUGAACCCGGCUUUCAAAAGCCGAACUAGUUCGUCCUUGACACUGAGUUGUACGUCAGUCGAGAAUCGACGAGGUGGCUGUCGGAAAGGCUUGAAUCCGGGCUUAAUACGUAAUUCAUGCUCGACUAAAGCACGAUCUAAGCCGGGCAUUUCAUGAUAACUCCAAGCAAAACAAUCUUUGAAUUCCGUAAGCAAGGCCCGCAACUCGUCCUUCAUUUGUUGAGGAAGUAACGCACUAAUAAACAAAAGUCGUGGGUUAUCGGCCGUCCCAACAUUAAUUUCUUCCAACGGGUCCUUAACAAGAGGCCGAUGAUCUUCGAGCUCGGCCGGGGCGGCUCGAAUUUUAUCAAAAGAUAAUACAGGCCCAUUAUCUCCCUCAGCAAGGAAUUCGACGAGGUUGACGCCCGAAUUUGGUUGUUUAGAUAUCGUAUACCAAUGGGCCAGCAGUCGUUCCAUAGUAGAUGAAACCGCGGCCCUACGUGCUUCCCGAUCGGCGUCAAACAUCGGUUUCGGGGAGAAAGUUAGCUAAUCCGAGUCUCGCCGAAUCCUGCUGGACAGUCUCGGCGCCAACCUCGAUAGCUUUCUGAACGGAAAUCCGAGUCGGUCGUCCUUCUUCAUUGAAGCCUUGCAACGUAAUAUAGCCGACGUGAUCGUCAUAAUACCGUGCUUGAAUCAUAUUGGCUUCGAAGGGCUGGCUAUCGGCCGGAUGAACAGUGACCGAUUUGCCGUCCCAAAAGACAAGCACUUGGUACAAUGAAGAAGGAAUACAGCUGGUUUGAUGAAUCCAAUCUCGGCCGAGCAGUGCAUUAUACUCGGUUUUGGAAUCAACCACAAAAAAGGCGGUCAUAUGGGUGCGACCGGCAAUAUUCACAGUUAACGGAAGCACACCUUUGGUGUGGGACUUGUCGCCGACAAAACUGCUUAUUGUGAUCCCUGACGGAAUAAGUUCGUCAUUUGAACGGCGUAAGGCCUUCAUGAUGUUCAGGGGCAUGAUAUUGACAGUAGCUCCACAAUCGACAAAAACUUUAGAAACCGGAUAUCCCUCGAUGUGUGCUGUUACAUACAAUGGCUUUAAAUGGUGAAGCUUGGCAGAUGAUAAACGAGGGAACAAUUCGGCCAAAGCAGCCUUUAGACUAUCAUCUUUUGUUGGCUCGCCUUCAGCAAUUGAUACAAAAUCCACAUGGCCGGGUUCCUCAGCAACCACAUCUCCAUCGAGGAAAUUUGGUUGAGCCGUGCUUGAUUGAAAAUCAGCAGGUAACACAUGAACCAUACUGAUUUCCAUAUUAUCCAAGACUGACGGGCCCAACUGGUCGAGACCUUCCUCGUUCGGUUGGUCAGCGACUUCGUAUUCAGUUAUCGUCAGAGUCGGACAAUGAGAUUCUUCCGUCCCUUCUUCAAUAAUGUCACUCGGCGGAGCCACUUCGGCCACUUGUUGGUUCUGCGUGACCGCCUCAGGUAAGGUCGAGAUUGACAAUGAACUUGGGGUCAAAACCUGAACCUGCUCCUGGUAGUGUAGCCGAGCAUCCCUAGUGUCAAGAUAAGCAUCGAGACGGGCAAUACGUGCGAUUUCAUCGGUCGUAAGGCCGAAGAGAGAAACCGCCGAAAAUACUUCAAAGUGAUACCGUAAAUACUGAAGGUCCUCCAGCGAGAAAGGAAGGUCGGCUGCAUUGAUAUCGAUGUACGGGUCGACUUCAAACCCAAAAACACGAGCUUCUCGUAUGUGCUGGAACCUUGCUUUCAAUCCGGGGUUUGAGGUCUUCUGGAUGAUUCGCUCGGCAUCCGGACAAGUCAGGAUCAGAUCAAUGGUGUCCUGGCAUGCCUUCGGUAAACCAUACAGAUCGUUGGCCGAAUGACUCUUAUGAAAUUCUCGCAUAUACUCUAAAGACUCCCCAAGGAACGGGGGAUGCAAAUUCCGUCUAAUUUUGAUCUUGUGUAACUAGCGGGGAUAAUUUGCUUUCGGCCUCUUGCCUGAAAUGUUCAAGGCGUGCCUUCAUUUCCCCUGGUCGAAUAAGAAGUUUGAUCCGUUUAUCAGCUUCUUCAAACAUGGUCUCGACGUCUUGAUCGACCAGCCGUUUCCCCUGAGCCAACUCUGUCAUAAUUGCUGGAAGUGGUCGCUCCUCAUCAUUGGCAACUGUAUCCUUCGGCCGCCACUUAGGGGCCGAAGUUUCUUGGGCUGCUUGUCGGCGAGCCAUGCAAUCUAUCCGUUGAUGCCGGCGUUUCUGAGAUUUGGACAACGCGGUAUAGACGCCCUUCGAAGAAUGGUAUGUAUACCAACGUUGAUCUCUAGGCUCAGGAGGCUUGAAGGUCUUUUGACUCCGUGAUGAUCCUGAACUGCUAGAAUUACGCUUAUAGUAAUCAUCGUCAUAAAAUGAAGCAUCAAAAUCGAGGCGCCGCCUGACCGGGGGUGUCUCUUCCAUCCGUACUUUAGGACCGAGCCUCCCAAAAACCCCAUGAUGUUGGUCUUCAUUGGCUAUCUUUUGCCGAGUUACGGCCACGGGUUGCGAAGAAUGUUUCUCUUCUGGUUCACUGUCGACCUUCGUUUUACAUUUCCUGCACAGAACCGCCGUCCCACUAUCUUCAUCGGCGCUACACUCCGUCAUAGAUUUGACAAUAGCGGGCCCCGUUAAGGCCGCAGAUGGUUUAUUUGAACGCGAAUCGGCCAUGAACCGUGGCCGAACAUUCUGAUUCCGCGGGCGUUGUGUCUCAACCACUUCAGCCUUGCCUUUCCCUUUGUCCUUGGGUAGGUACGCGUCGACCAUAUUUACUGUUGCCGUGGGGAACGGAUCAGUAUCAACACUCAUCAUCUUCUCAGGGAACUUCAGUUUGCCAUUAUCAAUCCAGCUUUGGACGUUAUCACGAAAUACGACGCAAUUGUUUGUCGUGUGUUUGCUCGAAUGGUGGUAUUUGCAAUACACCUUUCCUUUAAGCUCCUCGGCCUUAGGAAUGUUAUGACCAGGCCGAAGCUUAAUGAUUCUUGCUGAUAACAGUUGGUCAAAAAUUGCGUCAGCCUUGGUAAUAUCAAAAGUAUAAACCUUUGACGGUUUCGAUGUUCCUUCAGUGGCCGAGCGACUUUUGGCUUCUCUAGAAUCAACCUGAGUCAAUGCCUUGCAAAUGUAUGGUUUAUCUAUUACUAUCUCAGCCGCAUCCACACUAACACAUUCAUCCUCGGUUGAUGCAUAAUUGACAGUAGGGUUCUUGUAAAUCGUUCCCCGAGUUGGAGUCUUCGAAGUCUUUUCCUCGCGGAGCAAAUAAUCGUACUGCUCGACAUGCUGGGCCAAUUCGUACAUAUCCCGAAAAUUUGCCCCCAAGAAUUUCUUUUUGUAUUCGACGUCAAGACCAUUCAAAGCAAGCCUGACAAAUUCGACUUCGGGUAAGGGCACUCGGCACCAAUUCCUAGCCGAUUUAAACCUAGUAAGAUAAUCCAUUGGUGACUCAUCAGAUGCUUGAGCCAUCCGUGCUAAUGAAGAAACUGACAUCUCCAUCCCCGGCCGAUAAAAUUGCUCGUGGAACUUCUCGACCAACUCCUCCCAGUUUUGGACGGAAUUAGGCGGGAGAUUGAUGUACCAGGCAAAUGCCGAGCCGGUCAAUGAAAAAUUGAACAGCCGUAACUUGUGGAAAUCACUAUUCACAUCUCCACAUUGCGCGGUGAAACGAGCCACGUGCUCCAACGAAGACAGGGACGAUUCACCAGCAAAAAGACUAAAAUCUGGGAUCUUGAAGCCCUUCGGGUAUCCAAACGUCUCCACGUAAGCUGGGUACGGAUGAAUAAACUUGGGAAACUUCGGCCCUUUCUUCAUAGCCGAGUCGAUCAUCCGCUGAACUUCGGUCAUAUCAACAGAUGCUGCUUCGACCCUUUGGUCGGUCCCGUCUGACCUACUGUUCGACCCUCCUCCCUUCUCCAAGUUAAUUGUUUUGAGCGGGGCAGGAAUAGGCUCGACCGGUACAAUCGGUACCGGGUUGUUUCCUGGUAAACAAUGUUGGCGAAGCUCGAAAGGCCUGCUACCACCAACUUGACUGACCAGCAUUUCAAGCAACCUGGUCUGUCGAUCAUUGGAACUGAGUAUCGCAUCAUGCAGCUUGUCAAUGCCUCGACUAAACGUCUGCUCGACUGACCGAGACUGCUCGUCCAAUCGCUUUCGAAGAAACGACCUUGUUGGUGGAUCAGAUCUUUCACCACCAUCCUCGUCACACUCUUCCACUAUCCCUUCAGCGAGAACACAGGUGUUCCUGUUAGGGAUUUCUGGACCGCGGAGUUGACUGCCGAGAUUAACUUCUCUCUCUCGGCGGGUCGCACUCGUGGACUCAGGUGUCACGGCGCUAUGGGGAUUCUGCGCCUGUGGCACACUUUGUCCCGCGCUUUGAUUCGGCAAAUCAGCUAUCGACUUUCCCAUAGUGGUUUUCUUUUUUACCGAUCGUGUUUCAAUUGGCAUGAACUUCGUAGUUUAGCACUAGGUCCCACUGGGAGUGCCAAAAUGUUGACCCUAGAAACUACAAAGCCUACGUGGCGCGCAGGCCGAGUAAUUAAUGAGCUAACUACGUCCUUCGGUGAUUGCGGGGCGUGCCAACUCGUCGGCCGAGGCUCGGCCGAGGAGUAAAUUUGAUAAUGCUGUGUCGAGUCGCGCUACUGACUUCUGCGUCUUGCGAUUGCGGCCGAGAAAGGAACACGUCUCGGCCUCUUGGGUUCUCAAGCCUGAAGACAAGGCUGCUAUUUCUUACAAAGUUCACGAACCGAAUUCGGCUUGCAAUGUGCCGAAUGUAAUAACUGUAACACCUCACUUCGCCGAGAAGGCUGAUGAGAUGACCUCGACCAAUAAGGAUUUAGAAACCCUUCUCGACCGAGACUUGGAUAGGUAAUCAAUCGUUCUCGCCGCAGUGCUGUUGAUGCCAACGGAAGAUACUGCGAGACCGACUCUACGGUGACAGAGCUAUCUAUGCCGACUUAAGAUAUCACCGGUUGCUUCCACAGUGCUGUUGAUGCCAACGGAAGAUGUGUCAGCGAAAAAGGAAAAGAAAAAGAUCUCAAGUUGUGAGAGUUUGCGCGGGGCAAUUUUGUAUUGAUUUUGUGGGUCCUUUUCCAUUGCUGAAUGUCUUGUAUUUAUAGUAGCAGAACACCGAGCCUGAGUUCCAAUCCUACUUGAACUAGGUUUCCCUUUCCGGAUUACCUCGAUCAGUCUUAUCUCUACUAGGACUCGAAUCUAGUCCUUAACUGAGCCGGAUUCGCCUUCUAGUUUUACAGAUCUCGUCAAGGGUCCCUAUUGUAUUAGGACUCGACUUGCAUUCUGAUUUAACCGACCUAGGCUUGGAAGCCCAUGAGCUGAACGUCCUACGACCCUCUGGCCGUACGUCUUCCCGGGCCAAAAGUGAUUCCUCCCUCGGCCCAAACUGUUAUUUUGGGCCCAAACAACAGUACAUGGUCAUAUUUGCCUCCAUCUUCAACCGAGGGCCAAAGGGCCAUAGGGCCAAACACAAUUUAUUAUUUAAAUUUAAAAACUACAACAACUUAAAUUUAACAAACUACAACUUAUGUUUAAAAACUACAACUUAAAUUUAAAAACUACAAAUUAAAUUUAAAAACUACAACUUGGUUAAUGUUAUUUAAUGUUGUUUCAUAUUGUUUGACACACCUCGACCAGAAUCAAGGCAAGCUGGCCGUCACGUGAGGGUGACGUAGCCAUGAGCGCAGAGCGGAAGUGACAGUAAUAUGACAAUGUGAGUAAAUAAAAACCAAACUAGUUAACUUACACUAGAUAAGUAUAUAAGUGCGAGUGAAGGUAUUCAAAGUGUAGAUACACAUAUUCAGGGCAUAGGUAACCUAAGUGCAAUCCAGCCAGCUAGGUAAGAAUUAUACAAGGCAUGAAAGAAAUCCCUACAUUAUUUUAAGUCUGUCAGAACCGCCGUAGAGUCUUCGUAAGCCAUCAAUACGAAUUUCUAACUAGAACCUGGAGGGGCGCAAAACAGAAAAAGUGAGUGGGCAAAAACAAAGCUUUUUAAAACCAUUUCACUUUCUGAAAAUAAUAACCCCUCACCAUAAAACCCAAAUAAUUUUCCAGAAAAUAGUAAUACAUACGUAUGUAGAAAUCAUGUUCGAGAGUAAUGAAAACCGAGUAUAUGCCAUGUCAAGUAUCUCAGCAAUGAAAUAAGUUAACCAGGUGAAAUAAGUCAAUAUGAAUGAUAUGCCAGCCAGAGUCACCUAACGUGACCUGUACAGCUGAACCUAUAGCUCAUCAAAUAUGCCUACACACGAAUCGGAAGUACUACGAUCAUGUGAAGGUUGUGCGAAUAAUCGCGGGUCACCUACGAGUCGGAACCACUUAAUAUGGUUUGUACAAUAGGACCGUGCACCAAACUUGGAUCCAAGGUGAGCAUGCAGUGCGGGAGGUGAACAUCACGUGAAGGACUAUGCCCUGGCCACGGGCGGGAGCACUAACAUCGGGGUGCAAGAUAAUAAGCUCUACAUGCCUCUACGUAUAACCAUAACCAAUGUAACCACUAACAUCAUACAGUACUCACCUGAAACUUACCUGGCCUCCGCAACGUCAUACAACAAUUUGCAUAUACAUACCAAUGCAUUUAAUAAAAUGAAAUGCAAGCAUGACAUGGCAUUUAAAAGAAUACACUCGUUUCAAAACAGUUUCUGGGAAAAUGUAAAACAUAUAUACGUGUAUAUAUAUAUAUAUAGAAAACCAAAAGCCCACUCACUGGUAUGUAGCAAGGUCGUAACCCCCGAGUCUCGUCUGGCUACCCUCGUCCUCCAGAAACGUCUCACCUAUAUGUUAAACAACUAAUUUAAUGUUAAUUUUAAGCACAUAACCAAAACCGCGUAAUAACUUCUCAUACUUUGCUCAAUUGGGGUAUUUGAAUAUACCAUUGUGGCCUACUCAACAUCACAAGCAUCCCCAUAUUUUUAGAAAAAUUUUCCGAUGUACCAAGCGCCGGCCACGCGCAGGCAUGUGCCUGGCACACUAACGGAUUCCGUAACGGCGUUAGGGAAUAUUCCGUUAAAUUCCUAGAAUAUCUCGUUAAAGUUACCUGACGUCAUCAGUAUAUUCCAUCAAAGUUGACGGAAUAUUCUCCUUCCUUCUCUAGUGGUUCACCAGAUUCCGGCGCCGAUCGCGGAUGCAUCACCGGUUUCUAGAAAAAUUUAAAAUCUUAAUAUUUCCCUCAAAUCUCAACCAAAAUUUCACAAAUCUUAAAUAGAUUUGAAGCUCUCAACAAGGAGAACAUAAUCUUACCUAUUUGAAGACCUUAAACCUUCUGGAAAUGUUUGGAAAAUAGCUUGACACAACCGGCCAAAAUUGGAACUCGACAAACUCGAGUAUUCCAAAGUUCGAACCACUCCAAAACUAGCCUAGGAUCAUUAUAGAUUUGAUUAGGACCAUUUUGAGCCUUAAAAUCUCGUGAAAUGUCCAUAAUCACGUCGGAGUAACAGAGUACCUCAUCAGAGCUUAUGGUUCUUCACAAUUCUGACGUCCUUUCUUUGAACAGAGGAUAUGGUUAAGCUCGCGGGCUUGCAAGGAACUCGAGGGUGGUCCUUAGAAGUUCAAUCUGUGAGGUUUUGGUUCAGUUUGAGUGUGGUGUCAUCGGUUGUACGGACGAAUGGGAGAAUUCGAGAAAGAUGGAGAAAAUGCAGGCUUGUAUGUGUGUGUGUGAUCUGUCACGGGUUGGCCAAAGAAAAAUAUUAAGGGCUCCCCAUUGGGCAGCUGUGUGUGGGAAAGGAGAGAGGGAGAGUCCAAGUGGCCCAAAAUAUAAUUUCAACCCCAAAUUUGAUUGGGCUAGGAAAUAUAUGAAUAGCUGGGAUUGGUUUAGGUUUUAUUUUCCUAUUUUGACGCAAUUAUAUUCUAACGUUUGUAACAUCAAGUACGAUUUAAUUACAACGGCGAGAAAAUAAUUUAAAACUACAUAUACCCAUCCACGUCACUUAGCCAACGAGGGCAUAUUCGUCAUUUUACACACUCGGGGAGAAAAUAUAUAAUAAUUCGGGAAGGGUCGUUACAUUGUUUAAUGUUGUUUCAUGGUACUUAAUUUAAUUUAAUGUUGUAUAAUGUUCUAUGAAGUUAUAGGAAAAAAAAUAGAAUUUAAAAAAAAAUUGAAACAAAUUUUGUAAAAUAGAAGUUAUAGGAAAAAAAAAAGAAUUUAAAAAAAAUUAUGAAAUGAAUUUUGUAAAAUAGAAGUUAUAGGAAAAAAAAUUGUAAAUAAAUAAAUAAAAACUAUAAAAAAAAUAACAACUAGCUAACCUCAGCUAGUUGUUGUAUUUAAAAUUUUGACCUAGCAUUCCUAUUGGAUAUAACCGACAGGAAUGCUCAAAUUUCUGGCCAAGCUCGGGGCUGGCUGCCUGGCUAGAUUGGGCCAGCUGGUUUGCCCUUUGGCAUUUUCUGAUUUUGUGGGGCCCACGAGCCCUCUGGCCUAGACCUCGGUUGGAGACGGUUUUGUGGUGUUUUUCGGCCAUCUGGACCAUUCGGUUGGAGAUGACCUAAGAAUUCUAAAAUCGAAACUUUGUAGAGUUAAGAAAAUUUAACAAACCAGAUAAACUAGAAAUAAACCUAUACGAAUCAUGGUAGAAUAUAUAAGUCAUAGAUGCUCAUAACUCCUAAGAGUAAUUCUAGGAAGACUAAAUUUGUUGACUAAAUUUUGUAAACUAAAUGACAUGAAAGUUAAUAAGUGGAUUAUUAGUUAAACGUUGAUAAACGUGCUCAUUUCUUAUUGGUGACACAUCAUUUAAUUUGCAAAUUUAGUUUACAAAUUUAGUCUUCUUAACAUUAUUCGAUCAACUCCUAAAGCACAUGCAUAUCAUACUUCAAAAAAAUCAAACAGUAGUUCUCUCUCUCUGUCUUUAUAGCAUCGUUUGUUUUUACUCUAGUCCUAGUCCAAUACAUCAAUUAGUUUAUUUUUUGCACAUCUUAUCAUGUGAAAAACUCAAAUUAGAACAAAGUUUACCGUAUUUGACUGAUCAAGCUAACAAAUGCUAACAAAAUGAAACUACAAGGGCGAAAAUGCAAAAUGCAAAAUGUAAAAAAAAAAAAAAAAAAAACCUCCAAGGAUGAAAGUAAAUAUUCGAGGAAACUACAUGAUUUUCUGAGUGUUCAAAAUCGAGUAGUAUUUCUCUAUAUUGAUAAUUAAGAGGUCAUGUACAUAACUAGAUCCUGAAAAAUGAGACAGUGAAAAAAAGUUACUUCUCUCCCAAACCUGUGCCUUUUCUCACCCAUCAAACUAGAUUUGAAAGCCUCCCUAGCCGUUGCCCUUUGCUCCAGCUUGGGGUCAGCGGUAGCCUGACUCCCACCUUCUUCUAGUCCUCCUUCCUAUUCCCUUUCCUUUUCCACCUUCUACAUCUUUCCUCUUCUCCAUCCUUCCACUCGAAAGGUUUUAAUUUUUUGCAUUUUUCUCUUUUGGCCUUUGUUUUGGCUUUCCUUGAACUUUGUCUCAAUUUCCCUGUGUUUGUCUCAGGUCUGGACUUUCAUGGCCCUCUCUUGCUUCGUUGCUACUUUCCAUCGUGCGUCCUCAACCAUCGGCCUCAAUUACUCGGCCAGUGUACUUCUCCUCAUGUGUUGGGUGGCUGUUAAAGUGCAAUAUUUGGUAGGAUUAUGAGAGCGCUCACUGCUCGGGUGGCUUGCUGACCCCCUUUUUCCGUUCAUAUAGUUGUUUCGUUGGUUCAUUGUCUUGGUGGUGGUGGCCGUCUUGUGAGAGAGGCGCAUUUGUAGCUGCUGGAUUUCAUUCCAGUUUUAGGGUUUUUUUGUUAUUGUUCAGUUGGCCACUUUUGAACCUUUUUAUUAUAUGUUCUUAUUUGUUGUUGGACUUACAUUUAGGUUAUGGACUGCUUUUGUACUUUCUUUUUCAGGUACUACUAUUUUUAUUUAAUGAAAAUAAUCUACUUUGAAAAGAAAAAAAUUCUGAAUAACUCAAUGUGUUGGCUACUCGGCUUCACGCAAUUUUGUUGUACCAAAAAGUAAAACACAUGUUUCGACGAAAUAAAAAAAAAUUAAAAAAUAAAACAGAUGUGAUUGUCAUGUCAACAUCGUUACACGGCUACGCAAUUUAUAUAGUCAAAUUUCAUCACGAAAAACACGACAAAAUAAAAAACAACAUUUCAAUGUCAGUCAAUUUUUAUUUUCCAGUAUCUACACGUUGCCACCUUGUACAUUAUACAGCUGACACUGAUGAGCAAUAAUAACUUGUCAAAUUCAGAAGAGGGUUUCUUUGGCAUCUUGGGAAAUGAUAGAAAAUGAAAAGGAAAAGGAAACGCCCCUUAUCUCUUGCAUGUUGCAUCACAAGGGAUGCACAAAAACUUCAGAAAAAAUCUGCCCAUAAGAACAUCUUUAAAGAAAAUAUCAAAUUUUGAACAUAAAAUUUAAAUUUUGACAACUUAUAUGGUACUUUGACAUCUUUUAAAGUUUUAUUCUUCAACCGAUAUAUCAAAUUAAAUUAUUAUUUUAUAAAAUAAAUUAUUAAACUAAUUAAAAUUUAAUAAAGGACAUUUAAAGUUUAAUCAGUAAUUUGUUCCCCUUCCUCGAUUGGAAAGAAGAAAAAAGUAGGAUAAUUGUAUCGGUCAACUCAACAUUAAUUAUAGUAAAUGAUUAAAUGAAUUACAAAUUAAUAAAAUACAUUUAAUAAUUAAUAAAAAAACAUUUCAAGCUGUUGUCAAAUUUGACAACAACCUCUUUUGCUGCCAAUCCAUGUCAUCGUCACAUAGGAUUUGGCACUUCGGCUGGAGAAUAUUAAUGUGGUCUUUUUUUUACUGUUAUAACUUAUGUGUAUAUUUUGGCAUCUCAUUUGAAGAUGCUCUAACAUUAAGUGUAUGUUUGGUACUCUACUUGAAUUCAACUUUUUAAACUCAAAAAUAAUUUUCAAGUUUUAGGCCUUAAAAACUUGUUUGGUAUGACUACUUUUUCAAAAAUUAAACUCAAGACUAACUAAAAAUAUAUAGUAUAUUCUCUAAAAACCAGUGUUCUAAAAAUCACUCUAGGCGCCCGCCUAGGCGUUCAUCGGUGGUCUCCUGAUCCGAUUUAGGGGAAAUCGUUACAAAAGUCAGUGGGUAUCUAGGCGGCCGCCUAGGCGCUCUAGGCGAUGCUCAAGGCGGUUUGAAAUUCUUGCCAGCGUUGAAGGCUCUGCAACUAUUACUGUCUCGAACUCUCAUUAGAUUUGCAACUCUAACUCCCGCAUCUGCAUCAAAACUCUCAUCUGCGUCCGCAUUUGGAUAUAGCCAUGAUUUCUUUGCUAGAGGUUUCUGGAGAAAAAAACGAGAGAGAGAGAGAGAGAGAUAACCCUGGUUGCUUUGCUAGAGGUUUCUAGAGAGAGAGAGAGAGAGAGAGAAAGAGAGAGAGAGAGAGAGAGAGAGAGAGAGAGAGAGAGAGAGAGAGAGAGAGAGAGAGAAGAGGUUUCACGGACUAAUAGGAAAUUAAAGUGGGAAGAUAGUUGUGGAAGGAUCAGGAUCCUCUCCUGAGCAAAUGGAGAAGAUCCUCCUCACCGGUCCCAUCAGGCCGUUUAAAAUUUAUCCAACGGCUACAACCAGAGGGCUCUACUAAAAGUUAUAAUAAUUAUAACCGUUGGAUAACUUUUGAACGAUCUGAUGGGCCCGGUCAGGAGGAUCCUCUCUAUUUGCUCAAGAGAGGAUCCUGAUCCGUUGUGGAAAGAGAGAUGUUGCUGUCUAUUUGCCAUGUCUAUGUCAGUAAGGAAUAAGAAAUUUAUUUUUAUAUAAAGAAAUAAGGUUGUUUAUUAAAUGAAAAGUAAAGCCCAAUCUUAAUCAAGAAAAUAAGCAAAGCCCAAUAAUAAUUAAAAUAUAUGGGCUGAGUAAAUGUUAUAAACUAACAUAAAAAGCCCUAAAAAUUUUACAAAUAUACUCUUAUUUUAUAAUAUAUAUAAUAAAUAUACAUAAAUCCAUCUAAACCGCCUAGACCCCACCUAGCCGCUCCCGCCGCUCAACUAGCGCCUAGCGUUUUUUAGAACCUUACUAAAAAUACAAAAAAUGAGUUUUUAAAGAUUUUAAACUUAAACUCAUUCCUUUCUUUUCUCUCCCUCCUCCCCUCCCACUCUAAAUCUAUCUCUCUUUUCUUCUUUCUCUCUCCCCCUUCUUUCUUUUUUUUUUUUAUAAUUUUUUAUAAUUUUUUAAACAUUUUUCGUCUCUCCUCCAAUCUACCAUUUUCAUCUCUCCUCCAAUUCUCUCUUCAUUAUCUCGGUUCUUUCUCUCACUCCUCUUCCUCUAUCUCCUCCAAUCCUCUCACUUCUUUCUCUUUCCUCCAAUCAUUUCUUACUUUCUUUCCUCCUCUCUCCUGUCUCUUGACCCCCUCUUUUUGAAUUUCUUUGUCCAGUCUAAGUUGUACGAUUCAAAACUUUUAAAUCGCAUACCAACCAAGUUUUUGAGUUUUAAAGAAAAUUGUUUUAAAAAAAAAUUCUUAUGAAAUGCUAUGAGAAAUUAUAAAAAAUUUCAAAUACGAUACCAAACAAGCCCUAAAAUUUCCAAGAAAAAGUUGGAGAUGUAUGGAGAUUCAAAGCCUUUUAAAACUUCAAUCUUAGAACUCUGACCUUGUUGACAUCAAGUCAUUUUUGCUAAAGAAGAAAUCCGUACACAUAACGACCGAAAAAGCAAAACGAAAACCUACCAGCAAAACUUGCAAUAGGAUCAGAAUUUGUGGCGCAUUGCUGCAUGCAGUUUAUGAGUUACAUAUUGAGACAGACAUCAAGUGCAGAACACAUGCUUCCAUCUCCAAAGCCCUUAUGAACUAAAUCUGUCUUAUCCCACCACUUGUUUCAUCUGAUGCCAAGAUCCACUACAUGCAAAGGGACUUGCAACACAACUCGUCUACCUAAUCCCUUCAAGACUAAAGAACAGACAACUUUCACUGCUUUGCUCGAUCUGUCACACGUCACCGAGCACAGCAGCUACUUUAGGAAAAUACCUACUAUCAACAGGCACAUGUUUCCAUGUGGAAUCAUCCUUAAGGGCCAAUUCACUUGCCGUCCUCUCCAUCACCGUUGCCAUGCCCACCAGCUGAGCUCCCCUGGCCAUCACCACCGGCCCCAGCAUCCGAGGCGUCUUGCUUGCUUCCUCCACGCCCAUCAUUUGGGCCUCCCACUGAGUUUGGGCCGCCACUACCACCACCAAAUGAGCCCUCAGUAUGAUGCAUGGAAGGCAUGCCGUUGGCCCCCCCGGGUCUCAUUCCCAUUUGCCCUUGCAUGGCUUGUUGGUGCUGCUGAUGUAGCUGCUGCUGCUGCUGCGGGUCAUGCAUUUGAUGCAUGUUAUUGAACUGCAUCGGCAUUUUUGGGGGGAAAAUACCCUGUUGCUGAGCCAUUGCUGCUGCCUGAGGAUGUUGCAUGUAAUAUCCCGCCUGUUGCAUGGCAGGAUGUGGGGCCAUCUGCAAGUGUUAAAACAUAGAUGAUAAGUGUGGAUAGAAAAAACGAAUUAGCCAAACAUCCAGGCAUGCUUGCUACCCCCACCUGGGCAGGCACUGCUGGUGCCUGUGGCUGCGCAUCGGCAAUUGCUGCUAAAUACAUCAGAUUCUUUUGAAGCUGAGCUUGGUACCUAAAUCAUCACAAUUACAAUAAGUAUAUGUCACAUUGUGGCCAUGAAUUAAGAAUAGAAAGUCAUAUCCGAAGUCAUAACUGGGAGAUAGCAUUAAAUGAAUGGCCAACGGUAGCCCCACCAUAUCAAUAAAUGUGUAAGCCAAACCAUAGCCAUGCGUAUUUUUAUGCAAAAUAAUUUUGACUAAUCCCACAGUAAAAAUAAAUCAAAGACCUAACAAGUUCUCAACAUUAAGGAUCUUAUAAUCAAUGCUAUCAAUACAAACCAUGAGGGCUGAGGCUAGUUCAAAAUUAACAUCUCUAAUCAGUCAGACUCAUCUCUAACUUACAAGAUACAAGUGCAUUAUACAGCCCCAGCAUAUGAUUCAAAACAUAUUUCACAUGCAUACAACACAUGCGGAGAGAGAGAGAGAGGGCUUACUGAGCACACUCGGCAAGUUUUCCAAGAUUUUGAUUAUCCAAUAUUGCCAGAAUCAACUUUUUGUUGUCAUCAAGAUACUGCAUAAAGGAUUAUAAAAACACAUUAUUAAUAAAUAAUUUUAAUUCCCACGCACAUCAAGUGAAAUCCAAUAUAUUUGACAAUCAAGGUGGAUAUCCAAAAGAGAGCAACAUUGUUCAAGAUAAAGAAAGGGCCAAGCGUCAUCCUAAAACCUGCAUAUGACAACAACAUACGAUACCAACAUCUAGUGCUGGUAAUAAUCAUCUUAUGCCCUUAAUUCUUCAUCAAUUUAGGUUCAAAAAGCAUAAUUCAACCUUUCAAAAUAGUUUCGGGCUUAGAUGGAAAUUUCUACAGUAGUAACAAGAAAUACAUCCACCUUAUCUGUUACUUUCAUCUAACUACUUAUUAGCUCAGUUCAAGACUGAUUAGCACAUCCCAAAUAGACAUUUUAUCAAAUGAUUUGUCAUGCAUCUAACCUAUAAGCCAUCUCACAAGCACAAAGCUUUCAGCAAAUUUACCAAAAGACCACCGCUACUCAUGCCACUACCAUAUCAACUAGAAUUUAUCAAAAUUCAAAACAGUAAAUCAUUUUGCCUAUGCUAUCAAGAAUCCUGAUCUUGUGAGAUAAGACAUCUUUGGUGACAAGAGAAAUAUAUCAUGUGUGCCCUUCAGCUACACUUUUCAGAGGAGACUCGGAGCGGAGGUGGACCAGUGGAGUACUAUCUGCACAGCAGUAGAGUAUCUAGAUAGCUUCUCAACAGGAAAACCAGUGGCCUGAAUCACGAUUCACCACUAGAACUAGGCUGACGGAGGAAAAAUUCUUAACAGACAUUAAAAAGGCACUUCACACAGGUUAGGAGAAUAAACUACAAGAACUCCUAAGCAUCCCUAAUGUUUCAACAAGAUGUUCGAAAAACACCAACUGAAGACUGUUUCCUGUGGGUUUUUCUUUUAAAUCAAGAAGAAUGUUCCCCUAUUACUGUGAACUAGGAUUCCUUAUUUGGAGAAAUAUGUUUAUAAUCUUUAGUUAUUACCCUAACUUUAUUAAAUUCUUUCAUACUUUAAUGGGCGAUGAUUGAUUAACUACCCAGUCGAUGUGGGGGGGGGGAUACGUAGCUUUGUUAAAGGUUUCUUCCUGAACAUCAUUCAUAUGUCACCAGUUCAUACGCUUUGUACAAUAUGAAUCUGUAUUCUUAUUGGCUUAAUUGCUAUAAAUGAUCAUCACCAAUCACAGGACUGGUUUGGUAUUGCUGUGCUUUGAAAAAAAACUGCUGUGAAAAUAAGCAGCUGUGAAAUAAAUCAGCAGAGUGUUUGGUAAACUUUUUUGUAAAAGUGUUUUUGGAAAGAAAAAAAUCAGUCUGAUAAUGAGUCUUUUCAUUAAAGGAGCACAGUAGCUCCGUGUGCUUUGAAAAAAAAUCAGUUUUCCAAAGUUGCAAAUAGCAGCUUUUUCCUAUGAUUUCAGCUUAUUCUCACAGCAGCUUCCAAAAUAAGCCAUUUUUUUUUCAGUUUACCAAACAACUAAAACCCUCGCAGUUUUUUUUCAUAGAUGUUUUUUUUUUAAGCAUCUUACUCCCAAAUCACCUCAUACAUCACUCCAUAGAAAGAAGGGAAUUUUAAUAAAAAUCUUCCGGUACUGUUUACUUUAACGAAAAACUACAUUUUUAUUAUAAAAAAUAAUACUAUUCAUUUAACCUUUAUUUUGUUAAAACUCAAAAUUUUCAAAUCAUUUUCAUUAGUUUACUUAUAAACUAUACAACGAUGGCAAGACUUAUGGAAUUCCUCCCUAAAUAUUGUCAGCAAAAGUGCAAUCUUUUCUAUAUGGACAAAAUUUAACAAAUUUUAUUCAAGUACACAAUUUAAGCCUUGUUUUUUAACAUUUAGCAUAUGCAUCAAACUAUUGGGGGGUGGGGGGAGGGAAUGAAUUAACAUAACAAAAAAUUAAGAAACAAACCAGAAAACCCAGAAGGCCAAUUAGUUUCUAAAAACAAUUAAGAGAUAAAAAUUGAGCGAAAUGGGAAAAAGAGUACCUUCUGAAUUUGCUCGGUGGUGAUGUUGGUGGGCGGAAAUGAAGGCAUGACGGGGAUCAUUUGCGGUGGCUGCUGCAUCUUUUUUUCCCUCCCAAAUUUCUCAGUGGUUUGGGGAAUUCAAAAACCCUAACCCUAACCCUAAAUCAGCCCCCAAAAGAGAAACAAAAUCAAUUAAAAGCAGAAAUUAAGAGGAAAAGGAAAAAAAUUAAUGAAGUUGAGAAACAGAGAGAGACAAGGAAAGGGCGGUCGUGCACCUUUUUAGGUAGGUGGAGAGUGUAGAAGAAAGGAUGAGGUGGGAACAAAAAUUUUGAAAGCGGGUUUUGGGGAAUAUCCUUUCAGUUUUGGAUGUCGACGACGUUUCUGGACUUCUAAGAAUAAAAGGCACCCAAAUUAAUAAAUAAAUAAUUAUUUAUAAUUUUACAGUUUUCCAGAUACAUGAUGUAUGUUGUGAGUUCGAUUCUCACCAACUCUCCUUCCAUCUAGCAGUUAAAUAUCAAUGUUAUUGCUCUAUUAAAAAAAAGAGUAAAUUGUAACAAUGAUCAUUUAACUUUAAUUAAAUUUGAGUAAUGAUCCAUCAACUAAAAAUUCAUUAUCAUUAGUUCCUCAAUUCAUCAAAAUGUAUAGUUAUGGCAUUUUUCGUCAAUUUUGUUAGAAUUUUGUUAAAAUAAGUUAUGUUGGAAUGAUUAUUACUACAAUUGGGUCUCUCAACUCAUAAAAACAUGUAGCUAUGGUCCUUUUCAUCAACUUCGUCAGAAUUUUGUCAAAAUGAGUUAUGUUUGAAGAAUCAUUGCUACAAUUGGAUUAAAGUUGAAGGACCAUUGCUACAAUUUGAUUAAAGUUGAGAGACCAUUGCUCCAAUUGGAUUAAAAUUAAGGGACAAUUUCUCCAAUUGGAUUAAAAUUAAGGGAUCAUUUCUCCAAUUGGAUUAAAGUUGAGGAACCAUAGUUGCACGUUUUGAUGAGUUAAGAGACCAAUGGUAAUAGAGUUUUAGUUGAGGGAUUAUUGCUCCAAUUGAGUUAAAGUUAAGGGAUCAUUACUACAAUUUACUAAAAAAAAUUCCAUUUUCUACUUAGUAUAUAUUAUAAGAUUUUUCUAUUAGCACCUCAUAUAUUGUUAAGUACACUUAUUAUUAAAUGACUUUAGUACUUUUAUAUGAAAUGACCAUUUAAACCCCUUAAGAUUAAAAAAAAAAAACUCCAAACACUAACAAAACUUAUAUUAUCACAAGGCAAUCCAACAUCAAUCUUAGAUAGUAACAAUUGUUAAAAAGCAACCAAAUUAGUUGAGUGAAUAAAUCUGAAGUCUAGACUUUUAGGUUUGGUUUUUCUUGUCAACAUUAUAAGUGUACCACAUGCUCAAUCUAGGUUUAAGCUUUUCUCUGUUUAUGGGCUGUGUCUGCUGGAAAUAUAUGUUCAAGGAUGUAACACAUCUCAUUCCAAAAGAUUUGUUCAUGCGUGUGCAUUUCACGUCUAUAUUCUUGUUUCAUUCUGACUAGCUUAGUUGUCUAGUCAACCGUACGAGAGGAUUUCUAGCAAGAUGGGCACGUAAUUUAAGACCUGCCCACAAAGGCUAACUGACAACUUUCUAGUGAAUGUCUAUUUGUCAUUUUUAAUCUUUUAAAAUUGUUUUGAAGCUUGACACGUGUCAUGUGGGUUGAAAAAUGAACCAAAGCUUUUGGGUUUAAGAUUCUUAGUUGAUUCCUUUGUUCAUUUUGGGAUUUUCAUAUUAUAUUCCUAGUGAGAGAAAGAGAGAAAAGGGCAUUAAGGUAUCGCCUUGCUCUUUGUUCUUCAUUUAUGAAACCCUAGUUGCAAAACCUUCUUCAUGCAUUAAACACAUUGAAUUGGAAAAUGUAAAGAUUUAUACAAGUUAUCCCCUUCGUCACCAUUUUGUGGAAAACAUUAAAUAAAAAAUAUUUAUUCAUAUUCUCCCAUAUUUUUUCUUAUGGCAUGACAUUUCGAUUUUACGAUUUUUCGAAAAAAAAAACGUCAAUCCGUAUUUGAAUUUGGAUUAGAAUUUUAUUUUGAUACAGGAGAUCUCAAAGCUACAACUAACCUCACGAAGAUCAGGAAAAAGAUUCUAAUUCCAAGUUCUCGUCACUAUUCCAAUGCUUUAUGAAAAAGAGAUGUUAGGUAGUUUACUUGCUCGACCAUAGAGAGUUUACUUUCUUAUGAGGGUUGCAUUGUCUUUGGUUUUGCAUUAAAUUUGGAGUCAAGUGUUUCUAGUUUCAAAUCUUUAAAACUGACCCAAUUAGGAUUCUCGUUAGUUUCUUCCUUAAAUAGUUUGAUUGGAGAAAUUGACUGGACAUUUGAAUCAAGAUUUGCAUAUCAUCGCUAUAUCAUCAUAUGCAUAGCUUGUGUGUUGGUCUUGGUGCCACAAGGUGAAGAGUUCAGGAGGAGUUGUCAUCUUGUGAAGAGUGGAGACAACACAUUUUCGGUGCCACAAGGUGAAGAACUCAGGAAAAACUGCCACUUCGUGAAAACCAAAGGAAUUCAUCUUGUGUAAGGCAAGGUUGCAUAAAGAUAAAGCUGUUUCGUAGACUAGGUCUAGGAAUUGAGCUUUGUGUGGUACUUUGUAAGAAUCUUGAUUAUACUAGUGGAUUGGACUCAGUAGAGAGUCCCUUUUUUUUAACCCAGAGGUGGAUUUUUCAGGCCAAAAAUAUCUUGUGUUCAAAGUUAUUUAUAUUGUGUCGCAUAUCUCGCAUACAUAUACAUGCUACGUGUAUCACUUGAAUAUUUAAUUUAUAUGUGCUCACAAUCAUGCUCACUUGACACAAUAAUAACUUGGAAUGAACUGAAGCAGUACUGACUAGGAUAGCUUUUGACAUUUUAAAUUGGUUAUUGAAUCUUUGAUAUAUUGACUAACAAAUCUAUUUUAGUUGACUAGCAGGCUUGGCUAGUCAGUCUAGCAUAUUAUAAUUUUUAUAUAAAGGAUAUUCCGUCUGGUACCAAUUUUAAUAAAUUUCAGUAGCUCGGCACGUCUUGGGUUCGAUUAUUGGCAAUGAUGAAUCACACGAUGGUGUAUUAUAUAUUUGGUUGUGUUUGAUAAUUAGGAUUUGAGUGUAUAAUCUAAGUUUGAAAACCAACAUUUUAGACUUUUAGUUAUGAGAAAAUUCUAAAUCUUCAAUUUCUAUUUUUGGGGUUGAGAUUUUAUUUUAAGAAAUUUAUUUGGGUUAUGAUGCAUAAGUGCACAUACACCUUUGAGGUUUUUUGGUAAUUCUUACUUAUUGUUAAAUUCCAACUUUCAUACCUAAAGUUUUUUUCGUCCCACUUUUAUGCCUAAAUUUAAAUUUUGUGACUCUAGCAAUGAACAAAGUUUCAACUCUUCUAACAAAAAAAACCAUUUCUUUUGUGAGAACUCCCCUUAUCUGUGAGCUUCUUCGUGCUAUUCCUUUUCCCGAUGGGCCCUCAACUCUUCUUCUCAUCUCCCCCAGAUUUGCCCUCCCAAUCCAACCUUUUCUCAAGAUUCUCCCUCGUUAGCCAUUUUUCCCUAUUCUUUCUAGUUCCUGCUUUCUAUACAGUGUUCUUGGCAUCUUUAACAAUCUCCUCCCUAUAUCCCAGUCGAAUCAUACAUCUCUUCCAUUUUUUCAACCACACAUUUUUAUUAAAAUAUUUCCUUUUUGCUUGUAGAGUUUUUUCUCAUUUCUCCCUUGCAAUAAAUUAUCUCUCCUUAGUGAAAGCAAACUAGCCCUCAUGCUAAUCGAAGGAAAAUCCUUCUUUCAAUCCUUGUUGUUGAUGCAGAUGAUUGCGGCCUAGUAAUCCAUCUAAGUUAAUUUGGUAAUUCGCCCUAAAUUUAUGUAAUAUUCCACAAUUUUGUUAAUUUGUAGCUGCAAAUAUAUAGGGUUUUCUAUGUUCUUGAUUUUCUGGGUAUCUUGGCCUUUGAUCUGUCGGGAGAUAAUGUCGGAUUUUUAUAUGAUGGGUAUGUGUUCUGUCAACAUUUUUAGAAGUGUGGUGCUUGGUGUUGGAUGAUGUUGGCUCUCUAUUUUCUCAAUCCGUAUUAAUUUUAAGCAAGAAUAUAAUUGUGUGGAAUUCUAGAGGAUCUGGCUACACCAAAUUUCAUAAUAAUGUUACUAAUUUAAAGCAGAACCACAAAAUGGAGAUUCUUGCGAUUUAUGAGCCUAGAAUUAGUUGUACGAGAGCCAUUUCUAUGGUCAAAUCGCUAGGUUUUCCUUCAUUUGAAAUAAUGGAUGCUAAUGGGUUUUCUGGAGGGCUAUGACUUCUUUGGGAUAACAGCAAGGUUCAUAUUGAUGUCAUUGGCACCACUGAUCAAUCCAUCUCGGCUUGUGUGAGGGGAGCUGGUUAUAACCCCUGGUUGUUUACGUUCAUUUAUGCUAACCCUUGUAUUGCGAAUAGAAGAAAAUUAUGGGAUUACCUUAAUAGUGUAGCUAACUGCCACCAAAUGCCAUGGAUGCUAGCAGGGGAUUUCAAUGAAAUGGUAGAGGUAGGUGAUAAACUUGGUGGUGCUCCUCUUUAUAAGACCAAGGACUUUAAAUCUCGGGUGGAUAUAAAUAGUCUACUGGACUUGGGAUAUGUUGGUCCUAAAUUAACUUGUAUUAACAAGAAGACUCUAGAAAGAAUUGAUAGAGGCUUAUGUAAUAUGGCUUGGAGAAACUUAUUCCCAAAAGCAUGUGUUUUCCAUUUACCAAAUACUAAAUCUGAUCAUUGUCCUCUCAAAAUCAAUCUUCAAUCCACGCAUGUCCCCAAUCCUCUUCAAAGACUUUUUAGAUUUGAGGCUAUGUGGCUUAGGCAUGACGCAUUUAAUGAGCUUAUUGCAGAAAAUUGGGGUAAUUCUAAUGGUUCUGCCAUGAACAAAACUUGUGCUCUAGUUGAGUCUCUGAAAAGAUGGAAUAUUCAUGUCUUUAGAUACUUAAAACAGAAGAAGAGGAAGCUCUUUGGACGCAUUGUUGGUAUCCAUAAAGCAUUGUGUAGAGCCCCAAACAGUUUUCUUCUCAACUUGGAGCGGGAAUUCAUUUUAGAGUUCAACAAAUUUUAAAUCAGAAAGUUGUCUUCUGGCAUUAAAAGUCUAGAUUGAAAUAGUUACAAAACGGCGAUCGUAAUACCAAAUUUUUUCAUCUUACCACGAUUGUGAGGAGAAGGAGAAAUAGAAUUGAAGGACUAAAGAAUGACAAAGUUGAACGGAUUCUAGACCCUGAUGACUUGAAGAGUCUUGAUGUGGAGUACUUUCAAACAGUCUUCUCAUGGGCAAUGGUCUAGACAUGUUACUUCUCUACUUAAACUCUUUCCUUUUAUUCAUUUGGAUGAUAUUAGAUCACUUAAUAUAGAGAUUGACCCUGUUGAAGUUAAGGAUAACAUUUUCAGUAUUGGAGGUACUAAAGCACCGGGUAUAGAUCAGUUUCAUGUUUGCUUUUAUUAAGCUCAAUAAGGCAAAUGUGCAAGUGAUAUUGUUGAUAUAGUUAAAAUAGCAUUUCAAACUCAUAGAUUGCCUCAUGAUUUUAAAAGUAUGUUAAUUGCUCUUGUGCCUAAAAUUGAGAACCCUCAAAAGAUGCUGAAUUUUAAACCAAUUAGUCUAUGUUGCACUCUAUAUAAGGUCAUAACUAAGAUUAUUGUAGCUAGGCCUAGACGUCUUCUCCCUAAAUUGAUAAGUCCAAAUCAAGCUAGUUUUGUGCCUAGCAGACAUAUAAUGGAUAAUAUUCUCAUUGCACAAGAGAUUCUUUAUAAGUUUAGAAAGUCCAAGGGUAAGAAAUGUUUUUUGGCUUGGAAAAUUGAUUUGUCCAAGGCUUAUGAUCACUUAAACUGGAGCUUUAUCAGUGGGGUGCUCUAGAAGAUUGGCAUGCCUGAAAGUUUGAUUCAUCUUAUUAUGGACUGCAUAUCCUCUUUUAAAUACCAGGUCUGUGUUAAUGGUGAAUUAACUGAGAGCUUUACGCCUAGUAAUGGUAUCAGGCAAAGGGAUCCCUUGUCCCCUUAUAUGUUUGUACUUUGUGUUUUGUUAUUUUAGGUUCAAUUUGUUAAGUUAUGUCAUGUAAGGAUUAAAAAGUUGUCAUCAUUCCGACCCUUUUAUUAACUGUUGUGAUCAUUGUGUUGGAUAUGUAUAUUGUUUAUGUUAUUUUCAAGGUUUUGGGAAAUGUUUUAUUUAUAAGGGAGGUUAUGUUGAAAUUUUAGUAGGAUUUGUUAUUAGUUUUGGGUUAAUGAUUUUUUUUUUCAUUUCUUUGCAGCGAAGAAAAACACCCAGGGACCUUGUUGGCAAUUGAAGACGGCAAAGGUCACCUGGGUGACCAACGGUCGUAUCCCAAUCGGAUAUGAUGAGCAACAUCGGGCAGCACCAACGGCGAAGCAGCAUAAUGCAUUGGGCCACGACAUUGGGCAUGUCGUGCGGACUUUUUGCUCUAUGCGAUGGAAGUCUUUGAAGGCGAUGCUGGAGGAGACGAAGAACACGAUCCGCAAUCAAUUGUCCGUAAGUAGCGUCGUCUUUUUGAUGUUUUUCAUGUAAAAUUUAUAUAUUUAUAUUUAUUACGGUCUUUUAUUACUAAUACUUUCAUAAUAUUUGUUACAUUGCAGACAAACUACAAUUUGGAGGACAUGUUGGCGUACCUCAAUCGGCUCUUCUCCGAACGCUACAAGCAGUGGAAGAGUGACCUGCACCAAUAUUUCCAGCAGUUUGAUGAUCCGCAUGUCACUUUCGAGGAGGGUUGCCCGAAGGAGUUCGAGGAUCAAAAAGAUAGUUGGGUUUGGCUCUGUGGUCAUUUUCAGGAGGCGGGCUAUGUGGUGUGUUUUUAAUUACAACUUCUUUCAUUUUACUUUCUUUUAUUUUUUACUAAUUUUUAUUAUUAUUUUUUAUUUUCUUUAAGUAUUACAACUUAUACGUUUAUUUUUUUGUAUAACAAAUGAAGGCGAAGGCCAACAUGAUCAAUCAGGAAAAGAAGACUUUUCUCCACCAUUCGAGUUCGAGGCAUUUCUCCUAUAGGAUGGAGGUGCAGCAGAAGGCAUAUAUUACAGCUUUCAUUUCCAAUUUUAAAAUGUCACUAAUAUUUUUUUUUUUCGUACUAACAUUUUCCUUAUCUUUCGAUUUCAGAAAGGUUCAAAAUUUCCGGAGAUUAACGUCUUUGCUGACGUUUAUGUUCGGCUUGGGGAUGAGUUGACCGAGUCCCUUCAUGUAAGUAAUUUCUUAUGCAUUAAAGAUUUAUACUAAUUAUUUCAAAUUGUUUUCUAUUAAUAAUCUAUGUUUUUUUUCAUAGGCGACUAUGGUGGAGAAAAGUCAGUCAGUGUUUCAGGAGUUCGCCUCCUAGCUUCCCUCGGACACGCCGAUCGAGUUUGUGGUUCCCCUGAGGAUGCAAGGUUUCACAUCCUAACAAAGACGUUAGACCAAACUUUCGGUCGGAGGCCAAGGACAUAUUGUCGGGGGAUGGGAAAUGCCAGGUGGCGGGAAAGUGGAGCCUCGUCAUCUUUGCAGUCAAAAGACCAGGUUACGGCUUUGACGCAUGAAGUUGCUGGGCUAAUGAGUGAGCUGGCAUCGCACUAGUCUCAAAUGUCAAUGCUUGUACAAGCCUUCAGUUCCUCCGGAAUACGUCUUCCUGGUUUUUCUGUACCACCGCCCUCAGAGCCCUUCCACAUCGAGCAUGCACAGCAAUCAAGCCCAUCGACCUCCGACCCCGUCCCCAACCCCACCCCCUACCAGCAACAAGAUUAUCAAGCACCUCUGAACGAUUUGCCUAUUGAUUAUUCCACUUUGUUUUCAUAGUUUUGUUCCCGCUUUCUUUUAAAACUUUGUAUUUGUACGUACAUUUUUUAUUUAUAUUAUAAAUAAAAAAAUAUUUUUUAUUUAUUAAUUUGCUUUUUUUUUUGUCAUUUGUAUGAAUUUUUUUUAUAAUUUCCCUUUUAUUCUAUUAAUUUAUUUAUUUUCUAAAAUUUCACUUGGACGAUGCCGACUGAUUGUUGCACAAAAUUAUGCGCAUCUUAUACACUUCGUUGUGCAAAUUAUUUCCAAACAAAUUUUUUACGUUCCCAGAAAUUUCUCGUCACAAAGUACACUUGUACCCUUAUAUAUUGUAUGACGAAGGCCCUUAUACGUAUAACUUUCGCACGACGAAGACCAAAGCAUCGCGUAAGGCCUUUUUUCACGACCUUCUCGAUUUGUGCAUCGCCAUAGUUUUUGUGCGACCUAAAAAUGCUUUGAGCGACAAAUUCUCCCUUAUCGCGCAAACUGUUUAAUUUAUUAGUGUAAAUUUGGAUGAAGAAUUCAUGCUAAGGAUACAAGUUUCUGGGCAAAAAUCUAUGAGGCGAAAUACUUGCAAGGGAACUCUAUUUUGGAUACUAAAUUACAUAAGAAGUCUGACUGCUCUUACACUUGGAAAUGAAUUUGACUACUCUUACACUUGGAAAGGAAUUCUUUAUGGAACUGAUUUGUUGCGCAAAUGAAUGAAAUGGAGAAUUAGGAAAGGUGAUGGUGUCAAGUUUUGGAAAGACCAUUGGGUGUUGAAUGAUCCUUUAUUUAAUUAUAUUGAUGCUAAUAACUUUCCCGAUGAGGACUUUCCAAUCUCUUCUUUCAUUCGGGGUGGUUGGUGGGACAUUAGUAAGCUAAGAUCUGCUAUUCCAAAAAACUUGGUCCAAAAAAUAAUUAGUUGGCCUGCUGGGACUUUUGGUGAUUAAGAGGACAAACUUAUAUGGGGAUGCACUUCAAAUGGAACUUUCAUUGUAAAAAUGGCCUAUAAUGUGUUAUAUGAUUGUAAAAAAAGGCCUGUUUUUAUUGGCUUGGGAUUUGGACUCUCAAAAUCCCCUCCCCCCCAAACUUAAAUUCUUCCUUUGGCCCAUUGGUCAAGGUAAGUUACUUACUAAUGAGCAAAGAACCGAAAGAAACUUAAUUGUGAAUUCCUCUUGCAACCUUUGUUCUUGCCCAUUGGAGACCAUCACACAUAUUCUGAGGGAAUGUAGCAGAGCUGAAUGCAUUUGGGAUAUUUUUCGGAUUCCUUCUCAAUUGCGCAAUACUUUUAAUUUGGACUUGGAAGCCUGGUUGAUGGCUAACAUGACGUCCAAGGUAAUGUGAUCUAACAAGAUUGCAUGAAAUUGUUUGUUUGUCCUUGCUUGCUAGUAUAUCUGGAAAUGGAGGAACCACCAGAUUUUUAAUGUGGCUUUCUCCCACCCUAGUGAUCCUAAAAAGGUUAUUGUUGGAUAUGCAUAUGAAUGGAUGGAUUCCCUUCUAAAAAUUGAUAAACCUCCUUCUCGAAUGCAUGUUAUGUUGAAGUGGGAGCUUCAUGUUUUCGGUUGGCACAAGUUGAAUGUGCAAGAUGCUUUUCACCCCUUGCUGUCCUUUUGAAAAGUUGUAGGGAUUUGAGGAGAGAAUUGAGCUUUGUGAACUAAAGCAUAUUUUCAGGGAAGUGAACAAUGUUGCAGAUUAGCUAGCCAAAUGGAGCUACAAUUUGGACCUUGGGUUGUGUUCUUUUCAGUUUCCUCCCUAAUGGCUUAUGCAACAUCUAACAAAUGAUCUUGUAGGUGUCCUUAUGAGCCGCUCUAUUGUUAUUAAUGCUAUGUAUUAGUUCGUCUGGGAUUUCUUCACCCCCUCUAUUCACCAAAAAAAGAAAAAAAAAUAGAAUGAUAAAUCAUCACAUCAUAAUCAUCAAAUUCUCUUGCUCGCCAACUGCUGGUUUCUCUAUAAUCUCUCAAUAAAAUAUGACUAAAACAAAUAAUUGUUUUUUUGUUUAAGGUAAUGAUGUACAUACUAAAUUUGAAAAAUAAAUGAUGUGUCACCAAUAAAAAAUAAGCACGUUAAUCAAUACUAUGCAGUAACCUAAUCAUCUACUUCUAUUUUAUUUACACAAAAUUUAGACUACAAAUUUUGUCUUCAUAAGACCAUCUCCAACCCUUGGGCUAAAAGCCAAAUUUUUUAGCCCGGAAAAUUUGGCUUUUAGCCCAGAAACAGCUUUCUGCUCCAACCCUUAUGGCCUAAAAUUUUAGCCCGGGAUUAUUAAAUAAUGAACUUAGGCUAAUAUUUUUCUUAAAUCAAUUUAAAAAAAAAAAUAAAUAUGUAGACUAUUGUAAAUUAAUUUUGUGAACAUUUUAAUCUAAAAAAAUUUAAAUUCCGAUAAAUAUUGAAAAAUCAUUAAAUUUUUCACAAAGCAGGCCUUCAAACGACAAUUUAGCCCAAUUACGACCUGUAACAUGCUCUUUUGCCAUGUUGAAUAAUUUGGAAAUGGAAAGAAAUGGUAGAAAGAUAAAUUGGAAGAAUUGUAGGAGAAAAUUGAGUUUUGUGUGGAUGUUUGAACAAAUACAUAGGUAUUUAUAGAGUUUUUGGGUAAAUUUUGAGUUAAAUAAUUUUUUUAAAUAAUUUUAGCCGUUGGAUUUAAAUUUGGGCCGUUAGAUCCUUUUUUUACCGUUAGAUUUGAUUACAUUCGAUCUCAGCCGUUGGAUUCAAUAUAUUUUAAAAUAACAUAUUUUUUAAAAAUGAAAUUUGAAUUUGGACCGUUCGAUCAACCAACGGUCCUUAAAUGAUGGUCGUCGGAUGAGGAAAAGAGCCGUUAGGUUGGGGGUAGUGGCCGACAGGGCCCUGGCAGUGGGACCCUGCGUUGUCGGGAGCAAAUGCAAACCAGGCCCUUGGGGCGCGUCCGCGAGUGGGCGGGCCGAGAGUGGCCCAAAUUGUGGCGAGUCCACGCGGAUAGGGGGAAUUUAGCCCAGUUUUAGCAUUCCCCUUUUAGCCCAAUAUUUUAACUUGGGUUGGGUGGUGUUCGGGGGAAAUCUUGGGCUAAAAUUUGACUUUUAGCAUAGGUUUGAAGUUGGUGGGCGGGGAGACGAAGAGGUGGAAUGGGUUUGUGACAAAUCCUCCGACGCGCCCAAAGUACCAAACUCGGUUACAACUAGUGCAGCAGUAAAAUGUCAAAAGUAGAAGUCGACUUUUCACUCUGGAGAGUCCAUUACCGCUUCCAUCUCCAAAUCCCGGAACACUACAAUCCUUCUCCGGAACACCUUAAUCCUGGCUCCUGACAUCUGGAAACGCCUCUUCCCCCCGCGAACCAGGCGGCCAAUCACCCUCCCCCAAUUCCAAAUCGGGAUAUCUCGGCCGUUUCGAGUCCCAAUCAAUUCCGGAAUGGAGAUAAACAUGUUCAGGCUCUGCUCCGGCCUCAAAGUCAUCGGUUACUUCAUGAUCCUCCUCGUCGCCGCCAUCAUCUCCGUCUCCUACUACGCCAUCGUCGUCGUCACUUGGGGCCCCGAGCUGCUCCGCGGCGGGGUCCACUCGUUUCUAGCUUUCUUCAUCAUCGUAAUGUUCCAUAUUCUGGUAAUUCUCAACUAUUUCAGUUGUGGAUGCUUCAAGUUUUCUCUUUUUUUCCCUUUUCUGUUGUUUUUUAAUCUUAAUUAAAGGGCAAUCGGGAAAUUGGAAAUUGUAAACAACCCAGUUUUUAUUUUGGAAAAAGAUUUGAUUUUUAUUUUGUGUGUUGUGUGUUAAUUUCUGUUGAUGCUAUUGUUUGUAUGAUUAGAGUCUAAUUAAUAGAGUUAAAUUGACGUGGUUAGAUAGCAUCGAAGUAGAUUAAUUAGAUUGAUAACUGCUGCAAUGAGCACAAUUUAGAUUAGUUAGUACAAUUUACUAAUUUAGAUUGAUGGAUGAGCUUGAACGAAGUUGGUCUCGAAUGUCUGACAAGCUAAUAAGAGCUGGAUUUGAAAUUAGACCUGAAAUUCGGGGAGACAAAUCAAAUAUUGGGUUCAGUUUUGCUGGCUGGUUUACAACUGUUCUAAAAAACUUAGUAAGUAGAGAGGUACGUUUCAUACUUACGUCGAGGACCCGUGGGAGUUUUGCCUUUGACAAAGACUAAGGAGAGUGAAUGUUGAUUUCGUGUCAUAUAUGAUUUUUUCAAGCUUGUUAUAGCAAAAUUUAAAAUGAGAAUACAUUGAUAAAUAAUGUUAUUUGUUUAUGACUUCUGAGAAGGCCGAAUUGAGUAGAAAGAUUGAUUUGGUAGAAAACUAACUCUUGAGUUUGGCCCUCGGUUUGAAUUUGUAUUUUGUUGCAGCUUGUAAUGUUACUGUGGAGUUACUUUAUGGUAGUCUUUAAAGAUCCUGGUUCUGUUCCGGAAAAUUGGAAACCUCUAAUAGAGGAGGAAAACUUAGAGGCUGGUAGUUCUCUGACUUUGUCAGAAAAUAUCGAACCUGAGGCAUUCACUUCAACACAAUCUUCAGAUGGACGAGAAAGAAGACCACAAGUAGGGUAUUGUAGUCGAUGCCAAAAUGGCAAGCCACCACGAUGCCAUCAUUGCUCUGUCUGUAAGCAACUUUUUUUCUAAUGUUGACGAUACAUAUGUUGCUUGUAUCUGGGCAUGCAUUAUUGAUUUUUGUGCAUUUUCCCAUGGAGCAUUUAUUUUUCUUCUUUGCUUCCAAUAUGCAUGUAAGAGUACCUUUUAUCCUUGAUUUUUAUAUUUCUUGCAAGGAGAUGCCAUUUAUCCUUGAUAGAAUCUCCCUAGAAAAUAUUCCCAGUCCCAUGGGUGGUACCAAAUAUAUGAAUUCACUCUCACAUUUUUGCGUUGUCAGCUUUAUCAAUAAAGUUUCUAGAGGUUUUAUCAAUAAAGUUAUCAUUUACCGUUGGAUGUUUCUCUCUUUGCCACUGUUUAUGGAAGUUCCUGAGAACUUGGUCAGCAAGGAUAUGCAUUGAGAGAUGGUUUAAGACUGUUAAAUGUCAAUCUGACGUCUUUAACAUCCUAUCCAGUUAUUUAAAUUGUGGUAGCAUGUGUCCUUUUGGCGUGUUCUUUGUUUGCAACUCUAUGUCAUCAUUGAUAACCUGACAACUUUGGAACAUUGUCGCUAUCCUUAUUUAACAUUCAGUGAUCAGUGAAACUGUCUAUUAAGUGAUAAUCUUUUUGUUUUCUUUUAUGCUCUGUAGGCCAAAGAUGUGUACUUAAGAUGGAUCACCAUUGUGUUUGGGUGGUGAAUUGUGUUGGUGCACGCAACUACAAGUUUUUUCUUCUUUUCUUGGUAAUGACAUAUUCCUUUUUCUUAUUAAUGUACUUGCAGUCAUGACUCACGAAAUAAGAAAUUUGUGUAGAUUUCCUUCCCCACCAGAUUUUUUGUUCAAAGGCUGGCAAUCCCACAGAAUCUAGGGCUGGGAACUGGAGAUGUUUGAGUUAUCUUUGACAUGUGUGUGUGUUGGGGGAAGUUGGGGUCGUAGAGAGAGAUGGGAAAUGCAAUUGAUUAUAAAAUAAAUACCUUCUGGUGUGCAAAUAAACUUUAAAAGUAGUAGUAAUUGGCUAUUUUACUGUCCCUUUGUUUUUGCUCACUCGUUCCAGUUUCUGUUUGUGCCUUGAAAGCUUUAUACAUUUCUGGAGACAACAAUGGAUACCUUAGUUUUGCUGCCAAAUUUUAUCGAUUUCUUCUCUGAAGCCACGGAUCAUUCUGAAUCUCCUGGAAAUCUUGCAGUCAUUUUUUUGACAUUUGGUAAUAUUCCACCGAGUAAAUCAGUUUCAUGUCCACAUAUUGGUUCCACUUUCAUUGUUUACUUGCUCCUUAAAGAUUGUUUACCUUGUUGCAGUGCUUAAUUUAGCCUUUGCACUGAGUCUUCUUUGUUUUGUGGUUAUGCAUGCGUCCCUUCUGUCAAGCAACACUACUACGGUUGAGGUAAUACACUCACCUGCUACUUUCUUUCUACCAUUUUUGAGAUUUAUGAAUAUUUUCACAGUUUGCACUUACCAUUUGAGACCUGAAUUACCUGAUAAAAUUAUGUUCAUCUGGCUACUACCCUCUGCUUGAGGUUCUAUAUUAAUUUAUGAAUACAUACAUUGUACAAUAAGAAUUUGCUACAGUUGCCUAAAAUGAUCCAAAUAUCAGAGUAACCUGAAUCUACAAAGAAUUUAAUAAUGCCACAUGUUUAUGAUUUAUCAUGUCUUAUUACAUCGCAAUUGUAUGCAACUAUUUGAAACAAUGUUUCAGGUUCAUGAAAAGAGAGGAGCAAUCAGAUGGAAGUACGACUUGGGCAGGAAGAAGAAUUUUGAGCAGGUGGAAUUCUCUCUCUCUCUCUCACUGCUUAUGUAACCCCCUUUUCCAUCAGACAUUUGAUAAUUUUUAACUCUUAUCCUGUCCUGUAGGUUUUCGGCACGAAGAAGGCACUGUGGCUCUUACCACUGUUCUCAAAAGAGGAUUUAGACAACGUACCUGCCCUUCGGGGACUGGAGUUUCCGACACUUUCAGAUACUGAGGCUUGAUGCUUGGUGAAUUCCUAUACUUUUACCUCCCACCAGCCAUUUAGAUAUCUUUACGGACUCAUACAUGCUGAUUACAAUGGGUCUAAAAAGGUGUAUUACCCCGUGUCCAAUUUAGUCAACUUAGUCUAUAGUUAGGAGAGGAUUUAAAUUUGAGUCAUGGUUAUUUAUUUUUACUUUUAUACAUUGAAGAAAAAUUGGAUUCAGAAGGAUCACCCUAACAGGAAACUAGGAAAGUGAUUGCUUGGGGAAAAAACUCAGUUAGCUACCCAUCAAUUUUUUAUACAGAUUGUUCUUCUCCUCCAUGUCUUGUCCCUCGUCCAAACUACGUGUACCCCAAUUUCUUGGAUAUGGGAAAAAGGCUGUGCUUGAAGUAGUUGCGUCGAAGAUUUUAUACUGAGAUGUAUAAAUCUAUAUUGAUGUGUAGCUAAGUUUGCUCUACUUCCUCAAACUAUUCGUUGCUGGAAAUUGUAAUUGCCAGUAACUCAUUCACAUUGCACGGGAUGUUGAUGUAGACUUGGGGUGAUAAUUUGGAUGUCCAGUUGGCUGAAAAUUGGGUUUGAAGUUGUAAAUCACCAAAUAUUUGCUGAUCAUAAAUCAGGCGCAAGUGUGUUCCACUGGAUAAAGUUAGUUUUGAUUCACUUGCUCGCUUCUUUCUUGCAGUUUUUAGCUUAUUUUUUGUAAUGCCCCAAGGAACUCACUCUCAAUUUCAUUUUUCCCCUUAAAACUAAAAUUUUGCCACUUUACACCUUGAAACUCAAUAUUCGCUCCACUUUGGCGAGAUUCUAUCCAAUCUGUUAUAUUGGUGUUAACUUUGCUGAUGUGGUGAUGGACCGGACCCGUUAAUUUGCUGACGUGGCAGCCACAUCACUUUUUGUAUGCCAAUUGGCGGGACCUUCCCCACGCCUCCUCUUUCUUUCUCCGUCUCUCUUUCCCAACCCCAUUUCCCAAGCCAGCACCACCCCAACUCCCCGCUCUGAGCUCUCUUGCCACUGCGUGCCCCCAUUUGAUCAUUUACUCAUCGAACUUUACGUGCAUUUAGUGUUCUUAGAUUCCAGAUUUUCAGAAGAGGGUGGAAAUGUUGCAGUGAAUGUUUUUAGCAUAGUUUUUCUGUGAUUUUCUGUUUGGCUUCCCAUAAACUCUUCGUGAAAAAGAAAAGGAAGAAAAGAUAUGCAGCUCUUGAAAUUUUGAUUUUCGUUUGCUUUGCGAAAGUGAAAUUGGGAUAUGAUUACAUGUUUAUCGAUUACGAGAAUAGCAAAGUAAUUUCUUUUUUUUUUUGGGAAUUUUAACGAAAAACACCCGGUACUGUUCACUUUAACGAAAAAUCAUAUUUUUACACUAAAAAGUCAAUCCUGGUACUAUUCACUUUACCCUUUAUUUUGUCCUUAUCAUUAAAACUCAAAGUUUUCAAGCCCUUUUCAUUAGUUUUCCUUUUUUUUUUUCACUUUCCUCGGACUUCUCGACAGACAAAUAGCGAACUAGUAAAAAUUUAUAUGUUUAUGUAUGUAUGUGUGUAUGCAUGUGCGUAUAUGUGUCUUUAUGCGUGUGUUAGGGCAUAUACAGGUAGGGGUGGGUUCGGUACGGUUACCGUACCAAACCCCUUGUACCAAUUACCGUACCAAACUUUCGGUUUGGUAAAAUCUAUUACCAUUACCGUACCAAACUUUCGGUAUUGCCAAAAGUUCGGUUGGCAUUGUAUGGCAAUGGUAAUUGCCAUUUUGUUUUGGGACAAAAUCUGUUUUUGUUUUUUUAACCCAAUUCAAGGGAAAAACUUUUUUUUGUACCUUUAUCUCAUACAUUAUAGAUUAAAUUCAUCUAUUAUUCAUCAUUCACAAUUCACACACAUAAUAAUUCAAAAGAUGCAUCAAGAUUCAUCAUGAAAAUUAAGCUUACAAUCCAAAUAGAAGUUACGAAUCAAAACAAAUAGAAGUUAACAAUCCAAAUAGAAAUUAAAGUUUCAAACCAAAUGAAAGUUGGAAGUAAACUUCAAAAAGUAGAAUUCAUUGAUCAAUUAUUCAAGCUUAAGAUGUCGAAGCUUUUGGAGGAGACAUUGAACUUGUAGAAGAUUGAGUUUGUGUCAAGCCUACAUUACAAACAAAGAAAACAUAUUAAUUAGUAGCAAGAAGAAUUAAAGUUGAAAACCAUUUAAUAACAAAUUUACUAAAAAAUUAAAGCAUAUAUUUCUUGUUUUCUCUUCUUCCAUUUCCUUGUAAAAUUGAAGCAUAUCUUCCGUUGGUUCCUUGUAGAAGUUUACUUCAUUUGCCCUAAGCCAACCACUAGUACGCACUAGUGCCUCCAUUAUUUUAGGAUAAAAUGAUACCCUAAAGGGUCCACAACCCUCCUCCUUAGGCUAAAUGCAUUUUCACUAGCAAAACUAGAAGUGGCGGUUACAAAGAUAUUUUGGAUAUUUGUGAAAGAAUUAGGAACUCUUUUGUGUUUGAUUUCCACAAUUUCAAGAGAUCAAAGUCACCAACAACAAUGCUAAUAUAAUUAGGAUUUUAUUUUCAAAUUAUUGGAAUAUUAUAAAUAUGUGUUAUAUAAUUAUCUAUUAUAUAAGUUAUAAAUUAUAUAUUAUAUUGUAUUUUCGGUAUGGUAUGGUAAUACCGUGGUAAUGGUAUCCAUUACCAAUACCGUACCAUGAAAUUUCGGUACGGUACAAUACCGUACCAUUACCGAUUGGUACGAAACAUUUGGCACAAAAUCGGUAUGGCACGGUUGGCAAUUCGGUUGGCACGGUAAUUUGGCAAAAAAAUCCACCCCUAUAUACAGGCACGGAAGUCGCCGCCCGUUGCAGCUGUUCCUCGUGCUGUAUUAACCACAGAAAGUGCUAGGCAUGGGGAGGUGUCUUCUUGGGAGAGUGGAUGGUGGCGUGUGGUGGCAAGAGUGCUCAUGGUGGGGAGGCGGCUCGGUGACGGCGGCUUGGGAAAUGGGGCUAGGAAAGAGAGUGAGACAGAAAGAAAGGUUUGGAUUGGGGGAGGGUGCCACCAAUUGGCAUAAAAAAGUUGAUGUGACUGCCACAUCAGCAAAUUAGCGGAUCCAUCAUGGUCACAUUAGCAAGGUAAACGCCAUUUUUACUGAUUUGACAGAAUCUUGUUAAAGUGAAGUGAAUAGAGGUUCAAGGUGUAAAAUCGUAAAAUUUUGGCUCUAGAAAGAAAGUUAGGUGAAGUCGAGUUUCAAGAAGCAUUUCAUAAAAUAAGCCUUCAAUUAAAAUCCGAGUAGCCUGUGGCUUAGUAGUAAAAAGAUGACUAUCCAAGCAAACCACUUUAAUGUUAGUUUCAACUCCUACAAAGGGUACAACGUUUACGUGUACCUGAGAUGUAUGGUUUUUCCAUUGAUUACACGUAUUCAAAGUUUUACUUAAAUUUUUUUUGAGUAAUCACGCUUUCAGAGUUUCACUAAAAUAAUCUUUUACUCGAGGAAAGAGAAGAUUCCCUGAAAGACUUUUUUUUUAUCGAUGAGCAUCAAUAUUAUUUGGAACAAUGCAAAACUAGGGUAGGCAACAUUGUUAACCUGUUUAUGUUAUAUCAUAUAAACUUGAUUCCCCGACAGCUCUCUUCCCUUUAUAUUAUUUAACAAUGAAUGAAUCAAUGAUGUGAUUAUAACCACACAAACCUGACCCAUAUACCACCCAAUCCCCUGUCUGUGAUUUUAAAUGAGAAAUUUUAUUUGAACAUAUAUAAUUUCUUUUUACAUCAAAUUUUAAUUUUAAUUGUGAAUUAUUUUUUUUUACCCUAUUGCAUAAUUACUACCAAGUACAAGAUGAAAUUAACAAUAAAAUCAAAAUUUAUUAAUAACCCCACAUCUCAAAUAAUCAAACUCUACUAUCACGCAAUGCUUAUCCUACUUUCAUCACGCAAUUAAUCGACAUUUAUGUGAGCCAUUUAUUUGCAAGAAAUCAUCAUUAUGUGUUGUCUGCACUAUAAAUAGCAAUAACAUCUUUUAGAAAAAUCGAAAAUCACGAACCGUAAAAUUCUUCAUAAACUAGACAUCCAUAUGUUUCCAAGCAUAUAAGGCUCAAUAUCUAUUUCAUCUUGAGGAAGUACAGCUUAAUCUUCAAACUUGAUAAAAGAAUAAUUCUAAUAGAAGCCAAACGCCUUGGAUAAACAGCAAACAGAGGAGCCAUGACCUUGAAUGCCGUGGUGAGGAAGGGAGAUGUCAAGUAUCCUCUUUGUCCAGUGAUGAGACCCCAUCGUCGAUUUGUAGAAACAUAGAUUAUACGUUUUGAAUAAUAUUCCACGAGUUAUUAUUCUUCAAAUUGAUGCACCAAUAUCUACUUUUGCUAAUGCAAACUAUUUAAGGGAAAGGUAAUAAAAUACAAGCUAGAUAUCGAUAUAUGAAGAAAACGUAGUAAGCAGGAUAGAGAUUUAAUCUAUGCACAAAAUUUGGUUCAUAGGAUCUCAAAGUGGUACAUGAGGAGGAAGACAAGAUAAAAUCUUCUGGAGAAACAAGCUUACACUAUGUUAUAAUAGAUAUUGGCAAGUGAUCAAUCUGCAACGGUCACAAAUUAAACUUUUACGAUAUCUGCCUUUUAGCUUUACUACGAGUCUAAUGCUAAAAUUAAAAUCAAAUUACAGAUGUUGGAAGCAUCGAUACUAGGGGGAUCACUAUGCUUGAAGAGGUCCAGAAAAGUGUAGGUAGAAAGGGUCUUAAGGUAUGAUAUUAUGGUAGACUAGUUAUGUUUGAUAUAGUUCAUAUUUUUGUUUGAUCAUGAGCUUGUGUUUAUUCUUUCUACUGAUCUAUCAGCUUGUAAUAGCAAACCUCCGAAGUAAGGUGAUCAAUCAGCGAGAAAAUCGGUAAGGAAUGGGUGUAAAGAUAAAUAUAUAUAUUGAAUUGGAUUUAUGAGGGUAGUUUAGAUAGUAAAUUUGAGUUUAAAAAGAUAUUAAAUCUUUAAUUAAAAAUAAUAUAGGUGUAGAGAGCAAGUUGGGUGUGUAAAAAUGUUAUAUGAGUUCAAAUAAAAUUUUCCUUUUUAAAUUGAUUACAGAUACUAUUAAAUAGAGUUUAGAAUGAAAAACUUAGGCUUGCUUGAUAAUCAUUUCAAUAUGUAGUUUUAUUUUAUUUUUUUUAAAAUUAAAAACGAAGUGUUUCCUAACUUUAUACAGCAACUACCAAAACUAAAUCGUACUACUAAUGUAAUUCUAUAUCAAGAUAAACCACAAAAAUUAAUUAAUAGUCAACAGGUCUCUUAUAGAAAAACUCCACGCAUGUUAACAGAUAUAUAUAUAUAAUUUUAUUAUUUUUUUAAUAUCUAUACACGAUCCACAUGGUUACUCCAUUGCUCAUCUUUUUUGGCCGGAACCACCGAGUCAUUGAGGUGAACGGGUUGACUCACCCUCAGAACAUAAUGGUUGUUCGGAUUACAGAUAUCGGAGGCCACGACGGAGAACCAAACGAUGGCUGGGGUAGCAAAUAGGACGAGACCAAAGGGCACCAUCCACAGCUGCUUAUUUGCAGGAUGAUACUGAUACUCCCACCACCCUAACAUGAGUCCUCCAACCACACUCACCAGAACUGACCAAAAGCAAGCUGUUCUUGUCUCCACAAUUCUUCGUUGCUCCAAGUAACUUAUUGUUUCUUUGUCUUCCUUGUUCAAUCCCAUCAAAUAACGAUCAAAAAAGUAAAUUCCUGGCUCUGCUCCUGAAAUCAUAUUGGUUAAAAAACGAAAAGGAACGAAAAUUAACAAAGUAUCGAAUUCAUAAUUUGUAGGGUAAUGUUUCCUUGCCAUGUUAAGUAGCUAGACAGUGUGAUAAAAGAACAUUUUUCCUAUAUCAUGUAUUCUAAUCAGACAUACAGUCUAACAAGAGAACAUUUCUAUAUACGCAUGCACAAGUUCCAUAAAACAAAACAACAAAAGCAUAAAGAAACAUACCUCGGUGUUAUUGGUGAUGAAGAAGAAGAUUGAGAGAUGUGGAAAUUAAGUUAGGUGUUGGGGGUGAAGAUAUAGUGAGAGGUGUUAAAGGAGGGACAAAAACCCUAAGAGCAAGAACAGGAGAGUGUUGGGAGCUUGGAGGGCAAGAGUCCCAUGGAUCUGGUGGAUUAAUACUAAGGGAGUGAGGUUCUGAGGAGGGCUUUGGACUUUGCAAAGUCACACAAGAACAACCAAAGAGUCUGAUUUAGCUAAACAUCCGACGUGCCUUUCUAUCAAAGUUAUUAUUUGUUAAAGAAAAUAAAUAUAAAGGAGAAAAAUGAUUACGUAUCACGAUCACACAACGCAUUUGCCAAGUUAUCUGGGGUAGAUUUUAUAUGAAUCUAUUUGUAAUAUAUAUAUUGGUCACCGUUUUGACAAGUGGCUUGUUUUAAGUGAUAAAACUGUACUAGUGGUUGUUCAUAACGUAUUAAAAUUUUAUUUUUCAAUUUUAUUUUCAAGAUUUGUAAUGGUCAUAAAUCUGCUGGCUGGCAAGCCGGCAAGACUAGAAGGUGAAACUGAGGAUUCGUUCUCAUUUGUUAAACUAUAGAAAUUUGGGUUCAACUCAGUGAAGGUGAGAAAUGUAGAGGGGAAAAGAGGUGAUUCCAAUUCCUUUGCAUAUUUUAAAGAAAACUUUUCGAUUCUAAUUUUUGCAGAAAUAGAAUGAUUGAAGGUGAUAAAUUUUCUUUAUGUUUAUUUUUCUUCUCUUGAACAUGAAAAAUAAUGUUUCUUUACUUGCAAUAUACUUAAAUAAUUUAAAUUUAACGAAUUAUUUAUUCCAGUUUAAUCUUAAAGAUCUAACGAGCUUUAUGAGCUUCAAUCCUUUGUCAGGGCCCAAAGUAAAAAACAAAAUUGAAACAAAGGAUCUAUAUAUCUUAUGACCCCCCCCCCCCCCCCCCCCCCCUUAGAGCACUCCACCGUGGGUUGUUGCUCAGGGGACAUGCCAGCAAACAGGCCCAAGAGCCACUACUACAAUAUUAGCUUUAGGUGGCGGAUGAUGAUGGCGGAUAUUAGAAAAAUCAUGUCAGAUAAAAUAUAUCCAACACAUCAUUUAAUUAGUGGCGGAUAUUAGAAAAAUUUGUCGGUUAUAUCCGACAUAAAGUCCUGGUGGAUAUAAAAAACAUAUUGUUGGUUAUAACCGACAAUAUUUUUGAAUCUUUUUUUGUAAAAUAUUUUUGAAGAUUCUGACGGUUAUAACCAACAGAAAUUGAUUAUUUUAUUAUUUUACUUUCUGACGAUUAUUAUUUUAGUAUUCUGGCGGUUAUAACCGACAUAAAUGAAAAUUUUAUUAUUUUAAUAUGUUAUAUUGAUUAAAAAUAAAUAAAUAAACACAUAUUUUAAAUAUUUUUUUUCACUCAUGACCCUAAAGUCUAAUGAACCCAAUUCCCACAGAGCCAUAAAUUUUCUGAGAGAAUAAUAACAACGGACUACAAUAUGAAGCUCUAUCAUUUUUGUAAUAAGGAUUAUACUCCCUCACAGGCAAGCAACAAGAUACAAAGAAAUUCAAACAAUUUUUUUCAAUGCGUCACAAAGCACAUUGUCUGGCACAUAAACACACAUGAACAUGUGGUAUACUCUAUCAUGUCUGAUUUUAUUAUUUUAAAAUUUUAUAUUGAUUAAAAAUAAAUAAAUAAACACAUGUUUUAAUAUAUUUUUUUCGUUUAUAACCAGAGCUGUAAAAAAUCAUUAAAAUCUUUAAAAUUGUGAUUUUUUGUUAAAAUCGUUAAAAUUGUGAUUUUUUGUUAAAAUCGGGUCGAGGAGUGUAGCUGUAAAAAAAUCAUUAAAAUCAGAGUUAAAAUAAUAGUUAAAUUGUGAUUUUCGUUUAUAACUGUCAAAAACUUUUGUUCUGUUACGUAAUCUCUAAAUGUUUGUUUUUUACAAUUUUUUUACAUAUGCAAUCUCAGAGUGUGUACAAAUAAGUUUUACUGUUGGAUCGUUGAAAAAAGUUUCUUAGAAUGCAUAUCACGUCAAAACGGUAGAUUAAACAAACACUUGAGAGUUAAUAUUAUACUUCCAUCAAGUAUAAAGUAAGAUCUACUAGUGUAAAUAUUUUAAAUUGAAGAUCAAAUUUAUUCAUUGCAUUCUUAUAGGGUUGAGGAGUGUAGCUAUAAAAAAUCAUCAAAAUCGAAGCUAAAAUAACCGUUAAAUUGUGAUUUUUCGUUUAUAACCAUCGAAAACUUUUGUUUCGUUACCUAAUCUCUAAAUGUUUGUUUUUUGUGAUUUUUAUGUAUGCGAUCUUAAAGUGUGUACAAACAAGUUUGACGGUUGAAUCGUUGAAAAAAGUUUCGUAUAAUGCAUAUCGCGUCAAAACGGUAGAUUAAACAAAUACUUAGAGUUAAUAUUAUACUUCCAUUAAGUAUAAAAUAAGAGUUUGUGGUACCCACUAGUGUAAAUAUUUUAAAUUGAAGAUCGAAUUCGUUCAUUGCAUUCUUAUAAGGUCGAGGAUUGUAGCUGUAAAAAUCAUCAAAACCGAAGCUAAAAUAAUCGUUAAAUUGUGAUUUUUUGUUUAUAACUGUUGAAAACUUUUGUUUUGUUACCUAAUCUUUGAAUUUUUUUUUUUGCGAUUUUUUUACAUAUGCGAUCUUGUAGUAUCUACAAACAAGUUUGACGGUUAGAUCAUGGAAACUAGUUUCGUAGAAUGCAUAUCUCCGUUAAAUUUUCCUAAAUUUUGAAGUGGGAAAAGUAAUUUGUGCUAAAUUUUUAUUUAUGUUUUCAAGUAUUGAUUAGACAAUAUUUAGUUUGUGUGAUGACAUUUUCAUUGUACAAUUAUAUUUUUGUUUCUUUAUCGCAUAUUUUACAUGGGUUAUUAUCUAUUAAACCAAACAAUUAUUUAUUUAAUUUUUAAAAACGUAUUUAAUUUAAAUACAUAUUAUUUAUUUAUUUAUUAAACCAAACAAUUAUUAUUUUAUUUUUUUAAAUCGAAACAAAAUUUUGGGGGGAUUUUGGGAGGGAAUUUUGGGGGGAUUUUUGCUGCCAUUUUGUUUAUGUCGGUUAUAACUGACAGUAAUGAAAAUGUUUUUGUCGGUUUUUAUUUAAAAAAAUGUUUCUGUCGGUUUUAACCGACAGUAAUGAAAAGAUUCCAAAAUAAAACCCCUCCCCCUUCCCACUUCCUUAAUUUCCCAUUUCUGCCAUUGAGCUCUUAUCCCCUCUUCUCUCUAGCCUCGAGCCUAGAGCCAGUGGCGAAGCCACGUGAGGGCGAGGAGUGGCGACCGCCACUCUCCUCGCCGGAAAACACAGCCCCAGCGCAGGUUUAGCCCCUCCCCUCCUGCCGGAAAACCCAGCCCCUCCGCAGCUCCGCUCCCUCUGUUCCUUCGAACUGGUUCUAUUCUGCUGCAGCAAAGUGGAAUCUUUCUGUUUUUUUAUUUAAAUCCAGGCCAAAACGACGUCGUUUUGGUCCUGGUAAAAAAAAAAUUAGAAAACUUAGACGAAACGACGUCGUACCGUCUGUUUGAAAAAAUAUAAUUUAUGGUGGUGGGGGGGACCGCGUGUCCCUCAUUCAGCCUCUCUUUUCUCUCUCAGCCUUUCUCAAGGCCAGUUACACACAGAAAGCAGCAAAGCUGCCCCCCCAAUCCCAGUAGCCAACAGAACGGAAUGGAGCCAUCUCACAGGCUCACUCCAGCCGCCGUUUACUCUUACUCUCACAGUCUUACUCCAAGCUCCAGCCAGCCACUGAGCCGCUGGCUGCCACCAGGCCAGCCACUGAGCCGCUGGCUGCCACCAGGCCAGCCUUCAAACUUCAAUCCAAAGGUAAAUUUAUAAUCCCUACCUAACCCUAAAUAAUUAUUUAAUACGAAUUUUAUUUAAUUGGUAUAGAAAUAGAAUCAUAUUAAUAUGGUAAUGCACUAAGUUAGUUAUUGGUUGUUGAUUAUUGAUAUGAUAUUAUGAAAUUAAUUUUUAGGGUGAAAAUUUAAAUUUAAAUUCUUGAUUAUUGAUUAAUCAAUUGAAUUAUUAUAUAAUGUAUACAAUUAUUCAUAUGAUUAGUUGAAUUGAAUUUUUAUUUAUUGAAUAAUUUGUAUGCUAAUUGGUAUUGAUUAAUUGAAUUGUUGGUUGGAUUAAUUAUUAUGAUAUUAGUAUAGUUUACUCUAGGAUUAAGAGUCUAAGAUUUGUUUUUCUUUCCAUUUUACAAUUACGUAAUGGAACGAUACUAUAAGAAACAAUGCUUAAAUCCUCCUUCAAACAUUUCGGGUAGUCCUUCUGCUUCAAAUAUUCUGAGUAGUCCUCCUCCUCCUUCAAAUAUUCCAAGAAAUAUUUGCUUUUUUACAUUGAGUGAUAGCAUGCUUGUUUACGUUGAGAAAUAUGUAUUUGCUUUUAUUGAUAAUAAGCCUAUUAUGCGACGUUUUCAUGACAUGAAACCUUGCCGGCAACAAUUAUAAUUUGUUUGUAUUGAUUAAUUAUCGAAGACAUUACUAUAUAAAAAGAUUUAGUUGUUGCCAUUUUUCUUUACCCUUGCAUUCUCUUAAGUUCGCCCCUCCUUCCCAAAAAUCCUGGCUUCGCCACUGCCUAGAGCCAUGAGAGCUCUCUUCCUCUCUCUUCAUUUCUCUCUAUAAUCUUCAGCCUCAUAUGUCAUCCUUCCUCUCUAAUCUUCUCGGCCUGCAACCCAAAACCAAUACAACCCACACCACCAUUUCUUAGACAUCUCCGUUUCCAGUUUCCUUUUUUUAUUAGAAAAUAGACGAAACCCUCAUGCAUGUGUGCUUUCAGUGCAGGUUCAACAAUCAGCGGAGAGGGUCAAGAACACAAAUAAAGCAACUGCAAAAUUUGAAAUCCGCCUAAUACAAGCAGAAAAAUCGAGGUUCUAGAUCUACAAGAAAAGGUAUAAGGCAUACUUCCCCAAACUCAAGCUCGAUCUUGUGCACACCAUAUCUCCAGUUAUAUAUGUGGAAUAAUGGCAAUAUCUUGGUUUGUGCAUGCAUGCAUAAAUCAAAUAUGUUGUUCAAUAUGCUCAUGAAUAUGUUCUUGUUUGCUUGCAUGUACCCACUAAUACAUUCUCGAGCCAAGCAUGUGCAUAACUGAAUCAAUAUUCUGCCUUAAUGAGUCGUGUCCUCUGUGCUACUUAGAUCCCUAAAAAGUAGAAUGCGUGUAUUAGGAAUUUGAUGAAUGGAUCUAAGUGGCAUAGAAGCUUUUUAGUAGCCCCCUCUGUGAGUAUUUCUGAACUAUGUCUUCUUUUUUUUCCGCAUUGGCACUGCCAAAUCCCAUUAAUGUAGAGGAAUGGAUGAUGAAUGUGCUGGGGUGAAUAAAUGUUAAUUGCACGCCCGUAGUUGAGAUUAGGCUGAAUCAGCUCUGAAUUGAAUACAAAACUCUAUGUUGAUAUGGAAAAUGAAGCUUGAAAUUAUUACACAAACGGCGGAAAAAAAAAGUUCGAGUGUGAAGUUUCACUUACUGGUAGAUGGCUUUUGAAACAAGGAUGUCCAGACUGCAGAAGAAAUCCAUGGCUUUUGGAAGAUGGGCUAUUCCGAAUCUAUCGUCUCUCUCCCUCUCCAAUGUUCUUCGAGGCAUUCUUAUGAUGCAGAAAGUGGUUUAUAUUUUUUUUAUUAUUAAUAUAUGUUCUGUCGGUUUUAUUCAACAGAAAAUGCUUUUAUUUAUUCUUAUUAAUAAAUUCUCUGUCGGUUAUAACCAACACAAGUUCUGUCGGUUUUAGUAUUUUCUAUAGAUUUAACUGACAGAAAUGCUCUUAUUUAUUUAUUAUUAAUAUAUUCUCUGUCAGUUAUAUCUGCCACAAUUUCUGUUGGUUUUAGAGUAUUUUCUGUCGGAAAAUUCAUUUCCUGACACUGGCAAUUUUGUCGCUUAUUAUAUCCGCCACUGCAUCCAUUUUCUGUCGGAUUUUACUUAAAAUCCGACAGUAAUAUAUAUUUUUUGUCGGUUUUUGGACCGCCAGUUAUAGAUAAUUUUGUAGUAGUGAGCUCGGCCAAUUGACUCUAGCGUGUGGGAGCCCGAGGGAUAGUGCAUGCCUAAGCACCAAGCUUGUGAGGAAUUGCCAGCCCGCGAGCCCGAAAUGGAUCUGACAUCAUCCAGGCAUCAGCCCAUUUUUUUAUUUUUUUCUGUCAGGCGCAUGCAACUCACCCGCGCGUGGUGGCGCGUCACCCGACAUGUUUUCAGCGACUGGGACCCGCAUCGCAGUUUUGAAAAGUUACCAUCCGAUUUGCAACGGUUAGAUAAUGUGGACCGUCCGAUUUGCAACGGUAAAAAAAAUCUUAAUUAAUAUCAACCGUUGGAUUUGACAUCAACAAUUGAUAUUAUUCUCUUUUAUAAAUAAAACAAAAAGAAAAAAUAGUUUUAAAAUUAAGAAAAGUUACUGUUGUGCCACGUGGCACAAUCUGGAGUGUUGGAAUUCAAUUUUUUUAAAUCCAAUGGCAGGGAUUAAUUAGUUGAAUAAAAAUUUAAAAAAAAAUUGUAAAAAAUCCGAAAAAAAAUUUUGAAUUUUUUUAAAAAAAGUUGUUUUUACUUUUCUAUAAAUACUUUCUCAUUAUCAUCUACCUUACACCACAAUUUCAUAUUUUCUCAACUACUUUCAACCACAUUCCUACCUUUCUCUCAAAGUUUCAAUCCAAUUUUUUUCAACAAAAUGACUACUAAUGCAGAUACGAAUUGGUCGCUUCUUGAAGAUGUUGCGUUGUGUACUAGCUGGGUUGAAGUUACUCAUAAUUCUCUUACGGGUAAUGAGAUGCAGUUGCGAGAAAUGUGGAGUCUUAUUCAUACCAAUUUUCUUGAGAAAAUGGGUGGGAAAAGAACCAAAGAAUCGAUGUCCAGUCUUUGGAAAUUACUUAGCCAAUCGUUUAUUACGUGGAGAGACGUCUUGGCACAAGCUAGUGGUAAUAUUCGAAGUGGGAAAAAUGUAGCGGAUUAGGUAACAAUAUAUUAAUUUGUUAGCUACUUUGAUUAUAAUUAUUUGUUUGUAUUAUUUAUUUGUUACCUAAUUUGAUUAUAAUUAUUUUGUAUUAUUAAUUUGUUACCUACUUUCAUUAUAAUUAUUUGUUUGUAUUAUUUAUUUGUUACCUAAUUUUAUUAUAAUUAUUUGUUUGUAUUAUUAAUUUGUUACCUACUUUCAUUAUAAUUAUUUGAUUGUAUUAUUUAUUUGUUACCUAAUUUUAUUAUAAUUAUUUGUUUGUAUUAUUAAUUUGUUACCUACUUUCAUUAUAACUAUUUCUUCUCCUGCAUGGUGUAGGAACUUCAAGCACAAGCUUGGUAUAGUGCCAAAACCAAAACCAAAAACAAAUCAUUAACCCGGUGGGAAUGUUGAAAUAUUGUUAAAGAUUGUCCUAAAUUCAGAGUUGUGUCUGUCGGUUCAGAAGUUUUUAUGAAUAGCACCCCUCUACACUUUACACCCGAUCAUAGCUCGUAUGUUCAUGAAGAUGAUGUAGAAGAAGUGCCUGAAACGCCCCUACUUGAACAAGCGUCGGUUCGACCCAUUAUCCAAUUAGGCCUCAAGGUAAGAAGGCUUCAAAGAGAAAAGGGAGUGAUUCCAAGAAUGAUUAUGCAAAGUACAUGGAAGAACUUGCUCGCCAAGGUGAAUUGACUUUGGCGCGGGAAAUGGCGAAAUUUGAGGCUGAUAAGGCUAGAAAUGAGGUAAAAGCUGCAGCUGUUGAGAGAGCAUUUCAAGCUAAUGAGAGAGAAAGAGAGUUACUUAGGCAAGAAAGGGAACAUGUUAGAGAAGAAAAAAUGGCUCAACGAGAUCGUGACAUUAUGAACAUGCCUUUAGAAGGGAAGUCUUCAAAUUCUAAAUAUUUUUGGAAGUCGGAGAAAGAGGACGUGGUGCAAAGGAGGCAUGCAAGAGAAGCGAAAGCAAGAGGAGAUGGUCCUAGCACGACAAGAGAAUAUCAUCCUAGCACCACAAAUUGGUUAAGUGAUGAUGAAUAGAGUACUUUGGGUUGUAAUUUAUUAUUUAUUGAAUAGAGUACUUUAUGUUGUUUCCAAUUUAUUGAAUUUAGUACUUUAUUUAAAGUGAGUAAAUUUAUUUAAUUUGGUAAUUUAUUUAUACUAAAAGAAUCUUUAUUCAAAUGACAUAAACACACCAAAUAAAAUUACAUAAACAUACCAAAUAAUAUAAAAAAAAACUCACUAAAUGAACUAAAAAAACACACCAAAUGAAAUUUAAUAAACACACCAAAUAAAAACAAACACACUAAAUAAAAAUUAAAUAAACAUACCAAAUAAAAACAAACACACUAAAUGAACUUAAGUAUCUUGAGCUUGUUUCAAUUGCCACUAGUGCUCUAUCAAGUUAAUUUGCCGGGCAUUGUGCACAUAUGGCAUUUGAAGUGCAGUAUGGCUCAUGUUGCACGAGUUCUUCGGUGGCGUCAUGAGCACAAUAUAUUUGUGUUUUGGAAUUGUUCAUCGUGUCUAGCUCAUAUUUAUCAACGGCAUCAUAAUCAUACUCAUCUUCCACAAUCAUGAUGGAUCGAAGCGACUCUACAUCAAACAUUCUGGCAGCACCCUUGACAAUCGCCCAUCGAGCUUGGAGGAUACCAAAACAACGCUCCACAUCCUUCCUGCACCCCUCUUGACAGCUUGCAAAGUGUUUUUCCUUGCAGGACAUCGUUGACCAUGUUGGGUAAAUGCCGUCUACUAGGUAGUAUGGCCCGUCGUACUGACUUCUGUUGACCCAGUAUGUGACUUUUGGUGCCUUUCCUUGCAGGACAUCGUUGAACACUGGGGAUUGGGCAAGGACAUUGAGGUCAUUUUGAGCUCCUAGAAUCCCGAAAAAUGCAUGCCAAAUCCAUGUAUCAAAAGAUGCCACCGCCUCCAAAAUGAUACUUUUUUCUCAUUUUCUAUCCCUAUAAGUGUCUUGCCAUGCACUUGGACAGUUUUUCCAGGUCCAAUGCAUACAAUCGAUGCUUCCAAUCAUCAUAGGAAAACCUCGCAUCUCGCCCUUCUUCAGAAGCCAUUGCAAGUCCAUCUCAAUAGGUUUCUGGAGGUACUCUGCGGUGUAGAUAGAUUCGAUUGCUCCGUAAAACCUCAUCAAGGACUCAAGGAUGGUUGAUUUCCCCAUCCUCACUAUCUCGUCCACUUGGUCUGCAGAUGCUCCAUAUGCAAGCAUAUGCAAGGCAUUAGUAAUUUUUUGCUCAAGAAGGAAACUCAUAGCACCAAAAGCAUCAUUCUUUUGCACAAAGUAAGAAUCAUGGUUGCAAACAGCAAUCAUGAUUUUGUUGAACAAAUGUCGUUCCAUUCUAUAACGACAUCUAAAGUACAUAUCAGGGAAUGCACUGUUACGGAUAAAAUAAUCGUCCAAGAGUUUCGUACCUCGCCGUUGCCUGCUUCUAUCAAGGUUUGCGGAACGGCUGGGCUUGCAGAUCUGAGCCACAGCUUGGAUGACCUGACGGGAAUGUGAGGUUCUGGCCAUUCUUGUUUUGUUAUCUCUUCUUCUACGCUCCUCAUCAUCUUCCAUCUCAUUUUGGGCCACCUGGAGAUUGAACAUUCCUUUUGAUUGGUUAAACAAUUAUUCCUUUUGCUGAUCGAUUUCCCACAUCAUCCUUGAGGAAGAAGAAGACAUGAUUGUAAACAGGAAGCAAAAACUAUGAAUAAUGAUAUAGAUUUUGAUUUUGGUGAAGAAGGAAGUAGAAACUAUGAAUAAUGAUAGAGAUCUUAAGAAAAUUGGUGUGAGAUUUGUGAGGAUGGAUGAUGGAUUAUAUGGAGGAUUAAAAAAAGAUUAGGUUGUAGAUAAUGCCACGUGGCAUGCCGUCAUUCGUUAAAAAUCUGACUGAAUCUAUCCUCAAAGAUUGUAAACAGAUUGUGACACAUGACGUGACAUGAUUGGUUAAAAAUCUUAUCGGAAAUCCAUCACCAAUAAUUGUAUUUUCGGAUAAUGACACGUGGGGCAACAAGAACAAUUAAAAAUCUUAUCGGUAAUCCAUCACCAAUAAUUGUCUUUUCGGAUAAUGACACGUGACGCAACGAGAACGAUUAAAAAUCUUAUCGAAAAUCCAUCACCAAUAAUUGUCUUCUCGGAUAAUAACACGUGGCGCAACGAGAAAGAUUAAAAAUCUUAUCCGAAAUUACAAAUAAAAUUGUUUUGUAUUAUUUUAUAAAUAAAAAAAUAGUAAUAUUUUAUUGCCAAUUGUCAAGGUUAUUCAGUGUAGGGAUGAAGAUGCAAAAAGCUGUUAUUGUUCAUUAAAUACAGUUACUAUUCACUGGUGGAUUGAAUAAUGAAUAGUCUGGGGGGGAGGGCUCCCACGCUGGAGUUGCUCUUAGCUACUAGGGAACAGGCAAAUAGACUACACUUUUUCUCUUCUCAUCAAUUAUGAUUAGUUCACAUAUACGCAGUUAUCUUUACCCUCUCCAUCACGAUAUUAUUAGUAACAUUAUCAUCCAAAUUAUCAAACUUUAAAUUAUGACAUAUAAUUUUGAAACAAUUUAUCGAAUGUAAAUCAAACCCUCGGGUGUAAAGGUAACGUUCUUAACCACUUAGAUUUAUGGUAAGCUGAAGUAAUGAGAAUAGAUCACAAGUUUUGGGUACAAAAAAAAGUGUUCAUUUAAAUCAUACGAAAAUUUUAUUAUUAGAGUAUUAUUAUAUGUUUAUCUUUAAAAACAAGUAUAUGUAUGUAAAACUACUCGGCAACUUCGCAGUUUUAGAACGCCAACACGCACGCGCGCGCGCGCACGCACACGCAGACAUUAGAUUGUGCAGCUUUCAGCUUCGAAUGUAAAUGUAGAGUUCUUGGGAUGAUUUGUUCUUGGGUAGUCCCAGCUCUUGCUGUCAUCAACUACUUAUACAUCUUGGACUUUAUUCUUUUGCCCAUUUUUCUUUUCUAAAUAAUUGAAAGGUAUUUUGUUGCAACCCUAAAGCAGGAGUACAAACCCUGUCAUCCAUAUAUAUAUAUAUAUAUAUAUAACUUGGGUUGGUUUGUUCGACAUUCUGCAAAUGAUAACAGCAUAAAGUCACUUUUCUUAUUCUUCAGUUUGAUUUGUGUAGUUGUACACUUGUAGUUGUCUUGGAGGUUUCUCCCUCGAACCUUGGACUUAGCUUCUCUGUCCUCCCAGUUCUUAUAAACUCUCAUCCUUUCCUAUUUGUGAGGUCACGGUUAAGCCAUAUCAACAUUUUAUAUCACUAUUGCUUUUUGUUUUAUUAUCUCUAUAAAAAAAAUCAAUAUAAAAUGUUGACGUAGCUUAACCGUGAUCGCACAAAACAGGAAGAAAUGAGAGUAUGAAAACUGGGAGGGCAAAGAAGCCGGGUCCCUAAACCUUUACAACCCUAAAACAGCAGAAGAUAAAGUAGAAUACAAUAAAAGAUAUAAUAAACUUUGCUUUUUCUUAUACAUUUCACUUAUAUAAAAAUCCCUUUCUAGGGCAAGUCUAUUAUAACUCUUUUCGAUUAAAUUGUGCAAACUGAUAAGAACUAUUCUCCAAAUUUCCUAGGGUAGAUAAUACAAGUAUUAUUUAAUAUAUAACUAACAACCAGAAGUUCUCUUACAUCAUUUCUGCACAGUCCCUCUUCCUCAAACACUCCUCCAUUCUUUUUCUAACCUUUGAUUGAUAAAAUUAAAGGAAAACUAUGUGGAGGAAACAAGGCGAGAGUGUGCAAGGAGAAGACAAGAGUACUAUAUACACUUCAUAAAAAGUUCCUUUUUAGGGGUUUAAUGCAAUGACAUAUGUUCAACUAGUUUGGUAAGCAUGCGUAAUUGUGCAGCUCUUUUUGUGCGUUUGGAAAAUAAAAUCAAACCACCCUGUAACAAAACUAAGAAUUGCAACGAAGGGUGACUAGUCACUAGUUUUACACAAUUAUAUAUAUCUAUCGCUCUCUCAUCAUAUGACAGUUUCAAUUAGGGGUGUGCUAUCCACACACCCCAUUUUACUUCUCACACACUCCUUGAUAAUUUAUGUCCGUUGAUCUUCUUCAAUUCAUCCGAUCCGAUGGUCGAAAAUUAAAAAAAUGUGUGAGAAGUAAAAUGGGGUGUGUGGAUAUCACAUCCCUUUCAAUUAUUCUCCUUCUAGCUCGAAUAAGGCCCCUUUCUUGAAUGUGUCCAGGACCAUUUCUGAUCCAGCUAGAUUUGGGUUAUAAUUCAAGCCCAAUAAGAUUCUUGUCCGUGGAAGUGGAUUAAGAAGCCUAUAUGAUGUUGUGAACCAAACAAAACUGUAUAGCCUGUAUGCUAUAGGGCUCAUUUCUCAUUGAUCUGAAUAGUUGAAAUUCUUAAACCAUUGCAUAAAUGACUAAUGAAGAAAGUUCAUUGUGAUUAGUUUAUCUACUAGAGGGUUUUGCAUGGCAGAAGUGUUUUCUUCGACGUGGUCAUUUAUUGCUGAAUUUGAUAUACAAGGUGUGUAUUAAAUGGAUGUGUUUCUAAUGUUUCAAUCUCAAUUAUUGAUAUUAAAUGCAACGGUGAGUGACAAUAUAUCAUUAAUCAUCAGAUCACCAAGAAAACGUAACUCUUGCUUAUAUAUGGAGAUAGAGGAAGGAGUUUCUACAUAGUGUUACAAAGAUGGCAUGUUGGCCUAACUUGAUUAUUAACUUUUGUUUCUUGUACACAUGCCGUUUUUCGAUUUAACAAUUUUUGUACGUGAUGUUUACACCCUUACAUAGCAUGUUGUUAAUAAUCUACAUGUUACACAUAUUAUAACUUGAGUCAAUGUCACCACAUGGUUAUGUGAUGGUCACACUAAACAAAGUCUCGCGUGGCUUGGCAAGGGCAAUAUGUCCCAACCAACUUUGAAGCUUCCAUGCAAUUGCCAGCCCUUUGACUUGUAGUGAGACAUACCUCAAUUAUUGCAUGAGACCUCACGUUUGUGUUUAUCUAUAUCGUUUGUUUCUCCUACAUAAUUAGCAGUCUACUCACGAUUACACUAUUGCCCUUGUAUCCAAACAAAUGCUAAUGAAUUGGACUAACCAAUAAUAACGUUAGUAUAAAAUAGAAAUCAAACAAAUUAGGUUAGAUAUCAAUCCUAUUAUGAAAUAAUAACUACCAAAUUAUACAUUAUCUCAUUUGUUUUUUUUUUAUUAUUAUUAUUAGUUAUACUCUUAUUGUAAAUAUGAAGAAAUAAAGACUAAUUAAUCUCAUUAUAUUAGUUACAAAAAUGUUCUAAAAUCUUAUAUGAUAUAUCAAAGAUUCUUAUAUUCAACCGAGUUAUAUUUUGAUACGCAUUUCACAUGCGCACAUGAUGAGAAAUACUGUAAUUAUAUAUUUUUCCUUGGCCUGAAAACAAGAAAAUAUUGUAAUUAUAUAUACUAGAUACAGUAUGUGAUUAAAAUUUCUUAAAAAGAAUUAAAUUAAUGUUAAAUUAUGCAAAAAAAAAAUAGUGGAUUGGAGAAGUUAGAAAAAAGUGGAAAGAAAAGUAGACAUGGGAUGCAAAUAUGAGAGAGAGAGUGAGUGAGUUCAAGGUACUAAUAGAGUGACAAAUUUGUUAAGUAGCAUAAACGUGUAAGUGAAAUUAGCAAAUGAUAUUUUAAAAGAAAAAAUUUGUUAAUUCUUUAAAGAUGCUUUAGACCACACUUUAAAUCGAGUCGAUUUCUCACCUACGUGAGAGUGUUUGGAUUGAGCGUGAAUAACUCCGCCACCACUAAAACAAGCUCCAAACCAUAAUUCUAGCCUUUUGAGAAAAAUUGUAUUUUGGGAAAACAAUAAAAAAAGGAAAAAUAAGAGACAGUUAUCGACGAAAUUAUGAGAUAUAAUAGCAGGUGAUUUAGGAAGAGGCAGGACAGCCACGGAACUUGUGAUGAGAGAAUAUCAGAAGGAUCCCACACGCUGUCAACACGGUAAACACCACCACCUUAAUCCCUCCCUUCUAUUCUUCUUCAUCAUCUGCCACUCUCUCUCUCUCCCUCCCUCCCUCCCUCCUAUCGAACCCGACCAAGAAGCUGCAACAAACACUGAGUUAUAAUCUUUAGAUCCUUUGCGCGGGAACAAGUUGGAAAUUUCGGACCGUGGGAUCUGGAUAGUAAGGAAGGGGCGCAAGAUGAGCGUGAAGGGGCCGAGGAUGAGGACCCGCUUGGGGAAGUACGAGCUGGGGAAAACGCUGGGAGAGGGAACGUUUGCGAAGGUGAAGUUCGCCAAGAACAUGGAGACCGGGCAGUGCGUCGCCAUUAAAAUCGUCCACCGUGAGCAAGUCCUCAGAAACAAGAUGAUCGAACACGUACGUAAUAAAACAUAAAUUGUUCAGUUGGUUGAAACACAUUAAAAUGUGUGUAAAAACGUGUGUCCCCAUAUCCUAAUCCUUAUAUAAUGUGCUUUUUUCUUCAAAUCAAUCAAAAUGUACGUAGGAAUGUCGUUCAGAAUGAUUUGGUAUGAAUCACUUCUGCGCAUAAUCGUUUUUAUUGUUUUAGGUUUUGAAAAGGUUUUUAAGUUUUUCUGCCAAAUGCAAAAGGAGGCGCUGGUAAACAGUACAUGCCUUUAAUCAUUUUAGGAUGGCAGUGUGACCCAAAUGCCUUUUUUUGUUUUUGUUUUUUUUUUGUUCUAACACUCUAAUUCUUCAUGGUUGGUUUGAAGUUGGCGAUCAAUGAUAAACAUUAUAAUUCAUGUUUUUUAGUAGGUCAGGUGAUAAAAUACGAGGACUUUAGUUGGUUAUAAUGUAGAGCAGGAAUGAAAGUAUACCUAACUGUUUCUUGGUGCUUGUAUUGAAAGAUAAAAAGAGAGAUAUCAACAAUGAAGCUGAUCAAACACCCAAAUGUUACCCAGAUGUUUGAGGUAAUCUCUUCCAUUUUUAUUUUGUUGAAGAAAAAAAAUUAUAGGUGUUUUCGUUAUGAUCGUUAUAGUAGCUUUUUUUUUAAAAUGUGAAAUCUUAAAUUUGAUUGAUUGUAAAUGAUAUGAACAAUCAUAUAGCUUGUACAGGGGGUAUUGAAAUACGCAAUGAAUACCAUAUGCAUAUACAGAUUUCUUCGCACAUUUCUGAAUCGAGAACUUUUUGUGCUUAUGAAUAGGUCAUGGCAAGCAAAACUAAGAUCUACAUUGUUCUCGAGUUUGUUGAUGGGGGUGAGCUCUUUGACGAAAUAGUAAGCGAUUGUUGUUUCAACUUGCAUUAUCCCCGGUUGCACAAUACUCUUUUUGGUUAAAUACUAUGUUCUUACUUGUUACUUAGGACACAAGUCUUGUGUUUCUUUUGGAAAACACUCCCUUAUCAGUUCUGUUUUUCCUUAGGCCAAAAAUGGGAGACUGAAAGAGGAUGAGGCCAGGAGAUAUUUCCAACAGCUCAUUAAUGCUGUUGAUUACUGCCAUAGUAGAGGCGUGUACCAUCGAGAUUUGAAGGUUUAACAGACUUUAUAACUUUAUUACAGAUGCAUUGGUUGCAUACUGCGUGCAAUAGGAAUGAAAUAUUGGGUUUUUGGUUGCAUACUGCAUGCGAUAGGAAUGAAAUAUUGGGUUUCAUUAUUUGAGUAUUCAUCACUUAUAUCUUUUUACUUCUUCUGUAGCCCGAAAACCUUCUUCUGGAUUCAUAUGGUGUCCUGAAGAUUUCAGACUUUGGUCUCAGUACAUUUGAACAGCAAGUGCGGGUGAGUAAAAUUGUUGCAAAAAGAUUUUAGUGGAUGUAAAAUAUUGUAUUGAAGUUGAUUAUAGUUUAAUCCACAUGUACUGUUACCAGAAGUGAAUAUUCCUCUUGCUAUGAGGAGUGUAUUUGGAUCUUGUCGUUGGUGAGAAGUCGGAAUGUUCAAUUUGAUCUUGUUCCCGAUAUGUUAUAACUUAUGUUAUAUGACAUACUAAAGCAGAUAGUGUACACAUUUUGCAGGAAGAUGGCCUUCUUCAUACUGCCUGUGGGACUCCGAAUUAUGUUGCUCCUGAGGCAUUCACUUCUGACCUUAUGAAAACAAGUUAUUGCAUUACUGUUUGAUUAUGUUCUUUUGUUUCUCACAUUUGGUAUGUUUGUAUCAGGUGCUAAACAAUAAAGGUUAUGAUGGCACAUCAGCUGAUAUUUGGUCUUGCGGGGUCAUUCUCUUUGUACUCAUGGCUGGUUACCUGCCUUUUGAUGAACCAAGUCUUAUAGCGCUGUACCAAAAAGUACGUAAACAAGUUUCGCAUCCUCUGUUUAAAUGAUGGGAAUCUCUGGAUAACUUAUUAAUGUAUGGCUAUUGUUAAUUUCAGAUCUGCAAAGCUGAAUUUUCAUGUCCAGGAUGGUUUUCAUCCGGUGCAAAGAAAAUGAUUCAGCGCAUACUUGAUCCAAACCCUGUAACGGUGAGCUCCAAAGCCCUUUCUACUGUGCCAAAAUUCAAUAAGUACAUUCUUCCCAUAUGCUCUUGAAAGUUAUUAUUUGAGACCAUUGGUAUAUGAGCGUGCGCAUGUAAGCUCAUUAUACAGGCAUUACAGGGCAUUAAUACCUUAAUGCAGACGAUCAUUUGUUAUAUAGCCUGACUAGGUGUUCUUUUCUUGUUCUCUCCUUUUUUUUUUCUUUUUCUGUGACAGCGGACCACAAUUCCUGAGAUCUUAGAAAAUGAAUGGUUUAAGGAAGGGUACAAGCCAGCACAGUUCAAAGUGGAAGAGGAUGUAAAUCUAGAUGAUGUAGAUGCUGUUUUCGGCAACUCAAACGUAUGAAUAUUAGUCAUAAGUUAAUUUAUUUCUCUCAACCAUGAAUUUUUCUAGUUAUCUUUAGUCGGAAUAAUCUGUCAGUUUUUGUGUGCUUGAUAGAAUAUUGUCUUGAGUUUGUACACAUUCUGAAAUAGUCCUUUUCUUUUGGCUUGUUGCAGGAAAAAUUAGUAACGGAAAGGAAAGAGAAACCUGUAUCAAUGAAUGCUUUUGAGCUUAUUUCUAGCUCAAACAGUUUCAACCUGGAAAAUUUAUUUGAGAAGCAAAUGGUAUGUAGCAUGACAUUUUCUUAAUUCCUUUUUAUGAAUGCUUCGGUGUGGCGUUCUACAGUAUGAUUGUAUUUGCAGUUGCAAAAUACAUGUUUUGUUCCAAUUGUUAGUCGGACAGAAACUGGGAGCCUAGUAGAUUUAGGAAGAUUAGAAAAUCAAGGAUUCGCGGUAUUAGUGUUUAGGACUUAUAGGUUUUGUUGAAUCAAGAGCAUGCUUAGGCUCACAAUCCAUAGUGGCCUUCUAAUUCUUUGUAGUUGUCAAAGUUAUUCUGCAAGUUUUCUGCCUUCUGAUCAUUUGGAAUUCCAUACUAUAGGGUCUUGUGAAACGAGAAACCCGAUUUACUUCCCAACGCCCUGCAAAUGAAAUCAUGAACAAAAUUGAGGAAGCUGCAAAGCCUUUGGGCUUUAAUGUUCACAAGAGAGACUACAAGGUAAUGUGUUUUAUUCUACUCUUUCUCAUGCUGCACUUUAUAAGACUUGACUUAAUAUGCAAGUAUCCUAUCAAAACAACCUUCCUGUUAUGUUUAUAAAUUCCAAAUGUAUCUUCUGCUAAUUCCGAGCAAUUGCAGAUGAAGUUGCAAGGAGACAAGCAUGGCAGAAAGGGCCACCUCUCCGUAGCUACUGAGGUAUUGUCUGUGGCAUGUAUAUAUAUUAUGUGUUUGAUACAGUUAUUUGGAAAGCAAGUCAUCACUUAGUAAGGGUCAACUUGACAAAAACUAAAGAUGCUACUUUCGAUUAAGUACCAAAUCGUAAAACAUGGUGUAAUUAACUCUCUUCUUAACUUCUUGCUUAAGGUGUUCGAGAUGGCCCCCUCCGUGCACAUGGUAGAGCUCCGAAAAACUGGUGGUGACACACUAGAGUUUCACAAGGCAAGCGAACAUUUUAUAUUGAACAUUUUAGUUUCAAACAUUUUCCAUACUAUUUUUCAAGGGCCAACAUGCUGUCUACUGAUUCUGCCCUCUAAAUGUCUGUUACUACAGUUCUACAAAACUUUCUCAUCGGGUUUACAAGAUAUAGUGUGGAAAUCUGAAGAAACUACUGAAGAAUCAAGGUGAUCAUCUCUCUCUCUCUCUCGCUCUCUGCACGCUCGCUCAAGUGUACAUGUGAGCUCAUUGUUACGGAGAGUAUGCUUGUUGACAGAUGUUUUAAUUUUUUUUUUUUUGUGCAGGGCAUAAUAAAAACUCUUCUUUUGGUUCUUCUGAUCUGUUUUGGCCUGUGAUGCAUUUAGGUCUGAGACCUAUACAAAUGCAUAAUGGUCCAUGGAUGCAAAGGAAACUGGGAGCAUAUAUCGGGCAGCGUAGCCAGGCCUGAAGUGGUCCACGGUAACGAGAUAUGAAUCCCUCAGAACUGGGGUGGUCUGGAUUCUCUUCCUUUUAGUUCUAUGAAUUGAAUCCAUCGACGAUUUUGAAGAAACAAUUAUAUAUCAUUAGAGUGAAGUGAGAAAUUCUUGAUUCCCUGCUGUGAUGGAAGAUCGAACAAUGAACAUUCUUGAUUGUACUUUCCAAUUUUUUGACAGUCAUGUGAUACUUUGUUCAUGAUCAUCCCCAUGUAGCCAGCGAGUUCAAUUUUAAUUUUGAUAAGAACUUUGUGAUGUUAUUUAAAAUUCUACCAAUUUUUCUGAUUUAGCAACUCUGACCUAUGCUACCACUCAUCUUUUGUGGACAUUGAUAAGGAGGACUUAAGUUUACCGCCACUAUGGCGUCCUAUUCUAAAUUGCUCUCAUUGAUUAGAGCCUUCCACUUAGCAACACCUUGUUAUAUCGAUUGGAAACACUGACAAACGCCCAGAAUCGACCGAGCCUCCGCCGCUCCUCGCACUUGCUACCUGUCUUCAUCUUCUUCCUUGUGACCUGCGACGGUGCUACCCGUCUCACUCUCAGUCAGUGUCGCCGUCUCACUCUCAAUCUCUCACCCCCGUGAGCCGUGACGGCAUGACCCGCGACCUUCUCUGGCUCUGAGUCCUCUCUUCGUUUCCAUUCUCGAGUCUCUCGACCCACGACUGCCUUUGCAAGGUUAGUCAGUCAGUCUCUCAUGUUCUACAGAUUUCCUUUGAUAGUAAUGCUCACUAUUGUUGUCAAUUAGAAUGCUUACUAUUGUUGUCAAUUAGAAGAAUCUGAUGGGUAAGGAAUGGGUUGUCAAUUAGAAAAAAUGAGAGGUUUUGAUUUAUUGGUUUGUAACCAUUGGCUGUGCAUCUGAAGUUUGAACAUUCAUACCCUUGUGGUGAAAACUGGGUUCGACUUCGAUACUUUGUGUUCCCAUACGAAUAUGAACCAUCUUCUUCUUCAGCCAUCCGUUCGAUAGCCAAUUCAAUAAAUUUCUUUUUCACUGAUAUGUUACAGCAAUGUUGUUUAAUGGAAGUCGAAUUAUCAAAGCAAUGGUGAUAAAAUCGAUAGACGAAAAUUCACAAAUUGUGAUGCAGGCCUUGCAGAUUAUGGUGUCUCUGUCAAUUCAUAACUCGAUUUCAAAAAUUGUGUGUAUUUGGAAUGAAAUUAUUAAAUACAUGUAUUUCAAAUGAUUAAUUGUAACUAGUCAUUUCUGAGAGUGUUUUAUAGAAUAGUGAUUUUGUAUAUGCUGGUUUUGGAAAGGAUGGAAGGUACCAAAAAUGGUGAUGUUUGCACAGAACCAUACCGUCGGAAAGCUUAGUUAGCUUAGCCCUUAUCUCCAUUGGAGUUGGCUGACAAAAACCAUACCCUUAUCUGCAUUAAUAAGAUAUGCAUUUACAGUAGUUAAUAUAUAGUUUCUUCUUCCUUAUUAUAAUUUUGUUUCAUACUAAAAUAAAGGCUAGCUUUUGUAUGUAUAUAGAUAACCCAAGCUGCAGCAAAGAUCAGUUGUUUUGUAGACAAUCUAAGUUCUCACGUUCUGACAUGUUAUCCCUUCACUGACCCAUUGGAUGUUAUGUUCUGUUCUUUACAGCUAUAUGUUAUGUAAUUGGUGUAUGGGAAAGCUUUAUGAAUCUUGAUUUAGGGUUGUUCCCUAAUUGAAUCUUAUUAUAUGUUUUGUAUCUUAAUUAGAUGAGCUUGAGCUUGAAGAGAAGGUGUACUUGAGGACUUGAAGAGAAGAAGUGUGUGCUUGAGGACUUUAAAGUUUGGACGUUAUGUUUAUUUUAGGUGUGGAAGACUUGAAGUGUGAUUGUGUUGGAGAUGUUAAAAUUUCAGAUUUCAAUUAAAAAAAAAACAACCAACGAAAACCGAAAAAAAAGGGGCCGAACCGAACCUAACCAAAAUUUAUGUUUGGUUUCGGUUUUAGCAAAAAACGGAACCGAUUUGAACCGAACCUAGCCCUAGUACACAUCACUCACCACUGAUGCAAUAAUCUAUGUUUUGAAGAAAUUGGAUAAAAACCCAUGAAAGGGUUUGGAUCGAUUUGAGGCAAAUGAUAGGGAGGGCUUUUCCAUUUUUGUGCAAACUUUUGUGGUAAUUAUAGAGUAGUUGAAAAAAGGCUUUUCCAUUUCAAGCAUUUUUAUGAUAGGAUGAUCGAAGAUAAUGGGACGGAUAACGUUGUGAAGAGCGUGGUAGAUGUUGUUUUGGGGUAAGAGUGGAAUGAUAGGUUGAUAAGGAUUAAGGAAUUGGCUUGAAAUUGGUCAUCGCCGGUGGUGGCGGCACAGCUACGUGUUUGUCUGGGUUGGCAUGGCUGGGUAGAGUAACUAUUUUGUUUGUUUUUAUUUAAUCACUAUUUAAAUCACUAUUAAAAAACAAAAAGAACAUUUAAUAAAGAUGUUAACUAUAAUUAAGAGAUAAGACACAUGGCAAACAAGGAUGUGUAUGGUGAGCAUACACCAAAGUUAAUGUGGGUGAGCAAAAAGGAUCCGGCUUCUCUGCCCUCCCACUUCUCAUACACUCUCAUCUCCUCCUAUUUUGUACAGUUACAGUUAAGCCACAUCAACAUUUUAUAUUGAUUUUUUUAUAGAGAUAAUAAGAUAAAAAACAAUAGUAAUAUAAAAUAUUGACGUGA